UCUGACGAUUGCAAUUCCUGUCCUAGUCCAAGCAUUCUGUCAAACACUUCUUAGUUAUUCGCUGGUAAUUCCACAACCAUGUCGCUCAUCCCAAGCUGGUUCGGUGGCCGUCGCAGCAACGUCUUGGACCCUUUCUCCCUCGACCUCUGGGACCCCUUCAAGGACUUCCCUUUCCCUUCCUCAGCCCUCUCCGCCUCUAAUUUCCCCCAGACGUUCGGGGAGAACACUGCCUUCGUGAACACGAGAAUCGACUGGAAGGAGACCCCGGAAGCCCACGUGUUCAAGGUGGAUCUCCCCGGGCUCAAGAAGGAGGAAGUCAAGGUGGAGAUUGAGGACGAUCGAGUGCUCCAGAUAAGCGGCGAGAGGAACGUGGAGAAGGAGGACAAGAACGACACGUGGCACCGGGUGGAGAGAAGCAGCGGGAAGUUCAUGAGGAGGUUCAGGGUGCCGGAGAACGCGAGGAUGGAUCAGGUGAAGGCGUCGAUGGAGAACGGGGUGCUCACCGUCAGUGUUCCCAAGGUGGAGGAGAAGAAGCCUGAGGUCAAGGCCAUCGAGAUCUCUGGUUGAGAGUGACGAUUCUACAUAGAGGAGCGUCUGUGUGUAUGCUGUGUUACUAUGCGGGUUUCGUGUGUCCUGAGUUGGGAGGCUCGGUCCCCUGGUUUCUGAUAUGGCUAUAUAUAUUUUCCUACUACGACUCUUCAAUUGUAAUGAAAUUCGAGUUGUCAUUUCCUAACUUCUGUUUGAUGUUAUCUUGGUUCCUCAACAGUCUUUCGAUUAUGUUUUGUUCGUGGGAUGCCGCUUAUUUUGUUUCGCAUACUGCUUCGGCGGAUGGGGAGUUUAAUUAGUUUCACUCUUGUCGGAUUAAUUCAAAUUCUGGGAAGGAUCCAUCAGAAGUGCAAGUGCCACACUUUGCACAUUGGCAUCGUUUUUUCAAUUGGGUUUGGAGGUACCUGGAAUAUAGAGAAGCUGAUAACUUUGGGAUUACAACAGGGUAGAAACCAUGUUACUCCUUUUGAGCUCAGCCCAAGGUGCAGGGUUGGGUUCCUUCUGCUGCAUUCGAUCACAUUUGUCAAAUAACAGGAUAAAAUAUCUCGAUUAGCCUUUUAUUUCUAGUGAUCAUCAUCAGAUCAGAGAGAGAUGAUCAAAUUCACUAGUUCCUCUAUUGCGGUGUGCGAAGAACCACCUUUUCUGAUGCUCAACUUGAUUUGGUCUUUGAGAGCCGCAGCUCUCAGCCUCAUCUCUUUCCCUUCCUCACCAACCAUCAGCCUCCUCACAGCUUGCUCUAUCUCUUUCUGGUCUAGAUCACCCUCCAACUCCAAUCCCACCCUCCAAACGUGGCACAGGUACCUCGCGUUCACAUUCUGGUCGAACAAGCACGGUUGGCAUAUCAUCGGGACUCCUUCGGAAAUGCUUUCCAAGGUCGAGUUCCAUCCACAAUGGGUCCAAAAGCCUCCCACGGCACGGUGUGCUAAAACAUCCUUCUGCGGAGCCCAUCUUAUGACACAGCCUGUUUCUUGGAUGGCUUCUUCGAACCCUUCUGGCGACAGCUCGAUCCACUCUGAGCCUCUGACUGAGCCAGGUCGGACCACCCACAAAAAUGGCUGGCCGCUGUUCGCCAGCCCCCAAGCUGUCUCUGCAAACUCUCUUUCAUCCAUCGAAGCCAAGCUUCCUAAGCUCACAUAUAUGACCGAAUCAUUAGCUUGCUUAUCAAGCCACAACAGGCAAUCGGUUUCUUCCUCCAAUAUGCUGGUUGGUAAACUUGGAGCAACUUUGUGCAACGGCCCUAGUGAGAAAAAUGGCACAUGGUAUUGUUUCUGGACUUGGUCUGAUAACUGUUCCUCCAGGCAGUCCACUGUGUUCCAAAGAAUGGCUGAAGAUGUCUUUAUAUCGAGUGCCGUAGCUAUUACCUGCACCAUUGGUUCUGGAUCGCUUGUAAAAAGAGGCAAGUCCUUGCAUCUCAAGGGAUAAGCGCCUGGAACUGGAUCUUUCGACGAACGAUCUGUAAAGUCAUAAAAACUGCUGCUUGGCAUGUAUUGCUUAUACGAUUUCAUAGUCUGAUAAAAACAUAAAAACUAGUCCGAGAUUUGAAUAUUCCAGCAAGAUAAAAAAGCGGUGGUCCUUUUUUUCCUAUUUUGUAUUUAGUGGACAUUCUUUCUUCCUCCCUAGUCAGAUUGCUCUGCAUUAAGGCCAGAAUAUGAUCUUUCACAAGCAGUUUCAGCAUGUGUGGUGCUGUUGACUUCAUUUCCAUGCUGUCUACUCUGAUUAAAGAGGUAAUAGGUGGUUUGGACAGCUGGGCUAACAUCUAGUGAGUGUUUCGUCUUCUGGAAACCGAGUCGCUGUGAAGACCUAGUAUGCUUACCUCCUCUUUGCAGCAAGUGCUUUUUACGAAGACACAAAGGUACCCUGUUAAAGUACUACUUUGUCGAAGAAAAAGAAAAUUACGAGCCGAACUCAAAAUGUGUCAACAUGGACUAAUGGUGCGAUCUGUCAAGGGAAAAUUAUAUUUGAACCACAUUGAUUAGUUCACUCUCUAUUUAGCUUGGCUAAACAAUCUCUUCGAAUUUUGAAGAGACCCUAAAUUUUGCUGUCGCAUUUCUUUGUGAUACAAACACAAUCAAAUCAGAAGCCCUUCCAGUUUAUCGGAGUUCCACCAAAGAAAGUGCAUUCUUAACAUCCAAUUGAUGCCGCAUGCUUGUUACUCUUGAUUUCUAGUGAAAUUACUGUCAAACUACAUCACAGAGGUGACUAGAAGGUUAUUGCGCAUACUGAUAUCUGAUAGUUUAUUGUCUGUUACUAUAUGAGGAUUGAACAUACCUUUCGGGGGAAAAUAACCUUCCUUUUGGAGCCGAGGCAAUUCAGAGAAAAUCAGCUGUGUGCCGAUACUACUAGUGCGCAAAGCCAUGCUAGGAAGUUUCACAUAAUAAGCUGCGGCUUCUGCACAAUACAUCAGCGAAUCAUAAAUCACGCAAGAGAUUUUACUCUCGGUUGCUCCAUCCUGUGCCAUCAUAUCUGACAAUACUUGGCGGAGAGGUCCUUCACAGUUGGUGUUGAGAUUUGCUGUAAUAGCUGCAGCAUCCCCCGAGGAGAGGACAUCCUUCGGUAAGAAGUCGGGAAUAGAAGCAAAGGUAAAAUUGGGGAAACCAGAUGGAUGGGGAUGACUGAAGUGUGUGUGAGCUAUUACAAUAGAGAAGCCCUUGGAAUGCAGGAGGGAUCCCAAAUUGAGCAUCGGGGUUAUGUGUCCUUGAGGGGGGCAGGGGACUAGCACCAAUCUACGAUUGCUUCUCUGCCCUCGUUCCUCCAUUUCUCUCAUGUGAUUACAACCAGAGCCUCUUUCCUGGAUGAACUCGUCAAAUGAAUGGUCUUAUAUUCAAUACUGGGUCGUUGGCAAAAUGUUAAGGAAAACAAAGAGAAAUCCUCUCAUUAAUUUGUUUUUCUUGCCAGGAGAGAAAAAUAAAGAAGUGGUAAACAAAUUGGCUGUCGCACCAUGAGACAUGUGGAGGAUCACCUACCCCAGGACACCAGAAAUUUUGUUUCCUUUCACGUCUGGCUUUGUUUAAUCUCACGUGGGAAUAUUCUUUUUCUCCCGCAAGAUUUCUAGUUAAUUCGAUUCCAUCCCAAAACUUGCUCUUAUCUCUUUGCGGAUUCAAAUUAUUUUGCUGCUGAGGCGACUCCCCCUAUACGAUGGCAUUGAAGUCCACUGCUACUGACAUCACCAGAAGCUCCUUAUAUAUGAGAAAUGGGGUGGUUAUAACUUGUUUUGAACACUGGUGCUUGUAACCUUCUUGAAAAAGUCACCAUACGGAAGCAGUACCUGGUAUAUAUGAAUGUUUUGUAACUGAAACUCACAGCCUUAAGUAAGCUGACAGAGCUUGUCUUAGUCAAAGACAGCUAGAGACAGCAGGACUCAGAAGCAAAAGAGCUUCGAAGUCUGCAUCCUUUCAGACACCUUUCUAUUUCUUGAGACAAAAUCAAGUGUAUCAAAAAAAUAUACAGCUUCAAAAUUCAGCUGCUGCAAAAGUCAAACUGAUCUGGGGGGUUCUCAUGUUCUUUUUGGCAAUAUGAGAAGUGCCGAUGUUUUUUAAGUAGAAAGUUCAAAGUGAACUAGCAUCCGAAGGCCUGACAGACUGAGAUAUGAAAUCAGAUUUCUUAUCUGAAAGCUUCAUAAAGACCAAUAGUGCUCCUGCUUCUUCCUGCCGUCGAAUGACACGAGCAGUCUCAUUGGGAUUGACUUAAGAAUGAAUGUUCCUCCUGAGGAUGUUAUCUCUACAACGACAACAGGAGCAACCGAGCCUCGUCCCACUAACUAGGGACAGUAGGAAUUCUAUCAUGCUGCUGUGCUUGAUCUUUUUCUAGAUUUUCUAUGAGCUCUUCCACGUCUUUCUGGUAUUUCCCCUACUUUUAACUAAUACAUCCCAUCUUCAUUCAUAUCGCCUCGCCGGGGCACCUAAAGGCCUUUGUUCGACAUUACCUAAUGAUCUCAGACGGCCUUAUCGCAUCUGAAGGCCUUCAAGAUGUUAUGCUGAGAUCUAGUGGCCACACUUCUUUCAAUUGUAAAGCCAUGCACCUGGCAAAAUGGACAGACUAUUUGAGAUUUCCAUUGGUUGCAUAAUCUCAAGGAUCUAGAAAAACCUACUUUCUAUCAAAAUAGGUGGAGACUAAAUCACGUGUUCUCACACGGCCUUUUUAGUCUCUUUAGAAAGGUAAAACUAAAUAGUCACUCAACCUCCUCUUUACCACUAGUUAGGGAAGGCUGCAUGUUUCAAAUAACUGUUCAAAACAUCUAGAAUUCAGAGGAGUCCUAAGUUUUCUCUGCCAUUUCUUCAUUUUUUGGUGGGAAAAUGACAUAAAUCGUCCAUGAAUUUUGGUCUAAUGUGCAAUACCGUUCAUUAAUUUUUAAGUUGUUCUAUGUACCUGUUGAACUUUGAUCCAAUGUGGAAUGUCAUUCUUCAACUUUUAAUUUGUUAAAUAUGAUCUGGACUAUUGAUAGAUGUUCUAUUUAAUCUCCUAGAUUAUGUCAAAUUGACAUAAACGGAAUGACUAUAUUGAAUGUUUAUCAGUAGUUUAGGGAUUAUUAAAUAGAUUAAAAGCUUGAGGACGAUAUUGCAUAUUAAGUUCAAGGACUAUACUGUGCAAAUUAAAAGGUCAGAGAGGAUAUUGUAAUUGGAUCAAACUUUAUGGACUAUUUGAACUAUAAUCCCUUCUUUGGUUGAGAAACGAUAACAAAAAUAAGAUCCUAAACUUAAGACACUUUAUGGGAAAAGGGUAGUGGUAGAGACGUUUGUUUUAUUUUCAACAAUAACUUUCUCUUCUUCACAUUGUGAUGUAAGAAAGCUACUUCAGAUAAUAUAUGAUUUUAGGUCGUCUCACAUGGCGCAGUAUGAAUUGAUGCUUCACUGCAUUAUGCUCACAUAAAGAGCAUGCAUGUCACUGUAUUAUGCUCACAUAAAGAGCAUGCAUGUAAUUAUUGCACAAAUAAGGUCACAAAUACACAUGUUGAAUCGAUAUUUUUGGAUAGGAGGGCCAUAACCAUGAACAACGAUAUCUGGGAUUGAAUUCUCGAUGCUUUCUUGCUUUUGUCAUCAUAAGAGGAGCCGUGUUUUUUUUUUAAACGCUUAAGCGAUUAAAAAGGGGCCAACCGUGAGUAACGUAUGAUUUCGAUCAUUUCUAGGAUCAUUGAAGUUGAACAAAAACAUUCUGUAUAACACCUAUAUCACACGACAUAACGAUGAGAUGGCGCUCAACCAAAUCAAUUAUUUUCGAUUAUUAAAAUGAUCUUUAAAUGUGAAUGCGCGAUGGCAAAAAGGAACAGAAUUGACAGACAAAUAUGAGGAAGGGUAAGAGAAGGCGAGGUGGUUGAAAAUGUUACGCAGCGUCGAGAAAGAGCCAGAAGCCCAUAACCAGAACGCUCGCUCAGUCUUAAACCUCGUUUCGGAAAAAUCUCAUGAACGCGCGAGAAGACCUCCUCUUCUGCCCAUAAAUACCCAGCACGUCCCUUUCCUUCCAACAAGGACCCAGAAAGCAAGCAAAUUCCCAAGAAACUCCAAACCCGAGCAGAAAUCAAUCCCUCGCGUCCUGCAAAGUCAAGCUUCAUUCCACCGACAUAUUCAGAGACGAAGUCGCUCAUAGUUUAACUUCGGGAUUUGUUGCCGGAGGGAAUCUUUGCUUUACUUCUUGAUUUUGUUCGCUUGUCUUUUGUUUGGCUUCACUUCAGGAAUUAUUAGGGAUUUUCCUAGCCAGCAGUGUAUAUUUUAUACGCUAGUUCACGAGGACCAGCCAGGGAAGAGGAUUGACGUGAUAUUCCCUUUAAUUACUCAUCCAAAUAAAUUAUCUGAAUCAAGAUGCUGUGAACCAGGACAGCUGCCAAGAAGCACAGCCCCAGAGAGAGAGAGAGAGAUAGAGAGAGAGAGAGAGAGAGAGAGAUAUUCUCUAAAUAUUCAUUAAAUGCCGUGUCAAACUUGACCAUAGGGAGAGAGAGCGAGCUUCUCUAAUUAUUCAGCAAAUGCCGGGUCAAACUUGACCACAGUUACAUUCCUAGCUUGCGCAAAUUGAACGUUAGGACUGACCUGCUUGCUUGUCCUUCAUUGCUGGGUCUUCGCAUCCUCCGUCCCAUUACUUCUCAUCUGAUUAGACUUACAAAGAGAGUAAAACCACCCUGGAUCAGCAAAAGCCCGUCUUCAAGUGCAUAACUUCGCAUAGCAUCUGAAUAUCUUCGAUUGAAUAAAGGAUAGAGAGGAUGGAAAGUGAUGGGCAAAAUGGCAAGAAAUUGAUCCUGGUCCCAGGACCAUUCCAGGGCCACCUCACUCCCAUGCUUCAGCUGGCGACAAUCCUCAAGUCCAAGGGCUUCUCCAUCACAAUUGCUCACACACUUUUCAACAGUCCAGAUUCUUCUGCUCACCCCGAUUUCACCUUCUUAUGCAUGCCUGACGGCUUGUCUGAAGAAGAGGUUCGAAACCCCGAUCUGAUGGGCAUCAUGCUGAGGCUUAAUGUCAAUUGUGAGUCCAGCUUUAGGGAGUGCCUAACUUGGGGCACAAACCAUAUGGAGCCAGUUGACAAGAUUUGCUGCAUCAUCUACGAUGCAAUCAUGUACUUCUCGGAAGCUGUUGCCCAUGAUUUGAAGAUUCCUAGCAUUGCUUUACACACGAGCAGUGCUGCUACUACCAUAGUCCGCCCGAUUCUUCUCCAGUUAAAGGCACAAGGACACAUUCCGAUCCCAGGUACAUGCUGAAUUUCUCUUAUUUAAGUUACACUCAUUUCUUUCUUGAUUAAUAUUAUGGUUGCGGAGAAUCUUGCUCGUAUUCCAUUUUGUUUGUGGGGAUGGAUGUAUCUACAAAAAUUUAUUGCAGUUUUAAAAUCUGUAUGUGUGACCUUCAUCAUGGCCCUAUAGUCCAUGAUCCGACGAGUCUCCUCUAUGCCUAUACUUUUUUCAAGACUGGUUUCUUUGUCAUCAUCCAAGUUUGACACCCAAGCCAGAUUAUCCUGAAUGUUGUCAAACCGCCAAGUAUAAAGUCGAUGGGUUCUAGCUCACUUGUCAUUGUGCUGACUAACAAAUGCCUUGUGUUGUGCUCUAUUAGAUUCCAUGUUGCAGGCUCUGGUGCCUCUGCAUCAGCCCCUGAGGUUCAAAGACCUACCACUCUCCAAUUUUGGAAGUUUGGACUAUUUCUUGGAGUUGUUAGUCUUGGCGAGUAAUAUCAGAUCGUCUUCGGCCAUUAUAUUCAACACGAUUCACUGCCUUGAAGAGUCACCUCUGGCGCAGCUUCACCAACAGUACCAGGUUCCGAUUUUUCCAAUAGGUCCUCUGCACAAACUCGCUCCUACUUCAGCUGUUAGCUUACUGCAAGAGGAUACUGGUUGCAUUCCAUGGCUUGACAAGCAAACUCAUAAUUCAGUCAUUUAUGUGAGUUUAGGAAGUAUAGCACAUCUGGACCAAGACCAAUUGUCAGAAAUGGCUUGGGGUCUGGCAAAUAGCAAGCAGCCUUUCUUGUGGGUUAUUAGGCCUGGCUCAAUACCAGGUUCGGAAUGGAUCGAGUCAAUGGCUGAAGAAUUCAAAGAAUGUGUUAAGGACAGGGCUUGCAUUGUGAAAUGGGCACCUCAAAAAAAAGUACUGGCUCAUGAUUCGGUGGGAGGGUUUUGGAGCCACUGUGGAUGGAACUCCAUCUUGGAGAGUAUAGAUGAAGGCGUUCCGAUCAUAUGUCAACCAUGCUUCGGUGACCAAAAUGUGAAUGCGAGGUACUUGACUCUUGAAUGGAAGGUUGGAUUAGAACUGGAGGGGGAGAUAGAGAGAGGGACAGUAGAAAGAGCUGUUAGAACAUUGAUGAAGAAAAAGGAAGGUGAAGAGAUGAGGCAGAGGGUCUUGGAUUUGAAGCACAAGUGCGAUGUUAGUAUAGUUGAUGGUGGAUCUUCUUGCCAUUAUCUGAGCAAGCUAGUCGAGUUGUUGAGAUCGUUCUAGCAGCACAGAGUUGUUUGCUACUAAAGUACCGCGCGGAAUGAAGCUUGUGUAGUGCAGAAAGUGCAAAGAUUUGGUCUUCAGGCAUUGAAGAACAGAACGGAACAGAACAGAUGAUGCUUUGAUGGACUGACAGAAAUUUGCUGACUUGUCAUAUGCAAAUUUAAGUUGAUCCAAUCUCCUUUUUUUCUCUCAAACCAGUGGACCAGAUCUGAAUGGGUCGAAUUCACUUCUCCUUUCAAGUUUGAGUAAACUUAACAUGGUUAUUCAUUAUGUCACAAUUUUGAAACCUAAACAUGACAAGCUUAUAAAAUGAUAGGACACAUUUGACUUGUUUAAGAUACGAACCACUAGAACAACCAUGUCAAAUACGUACAGAUGUGUAAAAGUGUGUUCAAAUGUGCGUAAAUUUUCUUAAGUGCAUUGUCUCGUUGCAACUAACUUAUCAACUAUGUCAUCAAACUUGUCUAAACAUUUCAUAGAAAGGAUCAACCCAGGACAAAUACUAUCGUGUCCACUGCUUGAGAAUGCCCUCAUGGUGUUUUAGUGAGUUAAGAAGAAAAAGAUCAGUUACUAGAGGAAGACAGAAGCAAGGGAGGACCCGGCAAUCUUACCUGGCCUCAAGGUAGAUAAGAGACCAGGCAAAAGAAAGAAAAUAUAAUAGCAGUCUUGUACAAGCGACAUUGUUUCUUUUAUGACACAAACCUCUAUAAAGUUGACAUGAGCACACUCAAUGACAUGCCGAGUAAACGGGCUGUGUCGAUAUCUGCUCAACCUCAUUCGAGAUUGAUCAACAUGCCCUACUAUUAUGUCCGAUGAAUGUUCUUCCAGCCCAGUAAAAAUAUCCCAUAUUAACAACCUUAAUCUCUUGUCGAUCGGCAACUCUUUUUUAUCUGUUGCACUUUAAUUCAAUGUGAAAAAUGGAGAGCGCAAAGUGCUCGAGAGGGACCAUAAAUUCACUUUUCUUUAAAUUAUGAGGAGUAGCUUGAGAACGAGGAUAGACCGAUGAUUUUCCCGUUUUGACAAGCCAGUGCCAAUGAUUGGAUUCUUACUAUCUUGAUUUUAUUGUAUGGAAAUUUUCUGUGAGGCAAUUCUAUUGGUUGUUUAUUUGUGAAACAAACAAAAUAAUGUUUUAUCUUGUGCCACAUAGGAAAGUUAGAAGGACGUGGGCCACUAAAUAAAUAUGAAUGUCUUCUAAAUGAUUCAAAUGAAGACAAUGGCUUGUGGGCUAGAUCCCAUAAUCCUCUCCCCCCCCCCCCCCCACAAUGAACCCACAAGCGGUGCCAUAUGAAUAGGGCAUCUGAAGGCCUUUUAUCGACGUUACCAAACCACCUCAGACGGCCCUAUCUCAUCUCAGAAUGCCUUCGAGAAGUUAUCCUACAGUGGUGAAUGUAUUGCUGAGGUCUAGCGCUCUCUGUUUUCUAGCCAUAUACCAGGCAAAAUGGACAGACUAUAUGAGUUUAGCUUCUGCUGCAUAGUCUUAAGGAUUAAUCUUGUCUAGAUUACUGUGCAACCUCUAGCGUAGGGGGCUAAUAUCUUUUUGUUUUUUACUCUGUCCCCCUCAACUUUGUCAACGUAUCUAAAUCUGCCCUAGAUAACUGACUUUCUAUUAAAAUGGGUGAAAACUAACUUAGGUAGCGUCACACGAGUCUUUUCAGCUUUUUAGAAGGAUGAAAGUAAUUAGUCACUCAAUUUUAGCCUUUACCACUGGCAUGGAAGGUUACAUGUUUCAAACAAACUGAUCAUGUUUAGUUUAUAAUUUUACGUAGUUCUAUAUGCUCUACCAAUUUCCCCAUCCUUUGGCCAAGGAGAGAAUUGAAAUUGAAGAUUGCUGCAUGAUAUAUUAUGAAAGUUCGCCUCAUGUGGGGCCACAGAUUCGAUGCCUCAUAUUCAUUACGCUCACGUGAAUAGUAUGCAUGCAAGUAUUGAACGACAUAAGGUAAUAGACACACAGAGUUCUAUCAACAUUUUGACUUAAGCAGGCAAAAAUUCGAGCGUAUUAAACACGGAAUUUUUGGAUAGUAGAGCCAUACCAUGAACUAGGAAAAUCAAGAAUUGAAUCUUCGACCCCUUUUCACUCUUGUCACUAUUAAAGGAGUCCGUUUUCCCCAAUAACUUGACUAUCAUGAAAUAAAUCAAUAAUAUAUUUAUAACAUACGACUUAACCGUCAUUUUAAGUAACAUUGAAACUUAUGAAAAACUUUUUGUAUUACACCUACAUCACGCGACAUGUUGGUGAAUAAGCAACGACAAAAAGAAACAAAAUGGAAUCAUCGGCUGUGAUGGCUCUGCUGGAUAGGCUUUUGUGAUUCUUUGCGAGAGAGGUGAGGAGUUCGAAUCUCUUGCAAUGUAAGGAGGCUGGUGGAGUUACUUGGUGGUUUCCCAUGUUGUCCCCAUAUUUUUCUCGCCGGCUGUCGGCUUAUGGGGUUUUCUGGAUCAUAAAAAAAAAAAAACAAAAUGGAAACCCUCGAGUCCAUAAAUGAUAAACAUGUCGACAUAGUAAUCUGGUGAAACCGAAAGAGAAGUACGAGGAACGUGAAAAAGGAGACGAAAAGGCGAGUAGUUGGAAAUGACACACGUUAUGCCCAUGACCAAUGAGCAAGGCCCAGCGUCGAGAAAGAGCUAGAAGCCCAUAACCAGAACGUUGGCUCAGGCUCAAACCUCGUUCCAGAAAUCUCGGGAACGUACGAGAGGACCUCCUUUUGUCCCCGUAAAUACCCAACACGUCCCUCUCCUCCCGACAAGGAUUCAGCAAGAAAGCCAAUCACCAAGGAACUCCAAAACCGUGCAGAAAUCGAUCGGGCGUCCUCCAAAGUCAAGCUUCAGUCCCACCGACUUAUUCAGAGACCAUGUCGCUCAUUCCGAGCUGGUUCGGUGGCCGACGCAGCGACGCCCUCGACCCCUUCUCUCUCGACUUCUGGGACUCCAUCGAGGACUCCCCUUUCCCUUCGUCUUCCCUCCCCGCCUCUACUUUCCGGGAAAAUUCCGCCUUUGUCAACACCAGGAUCGACUGGCGGGAAACUCCCAAGGCCCACGUGUUCGAGGCCGAUCUUCCCGGGCUCAAGAAAGAGGAAGUGAAAGUCGAGAUCGAGGACGAUCGGGUGCUCCAGAUUAGUGGAGAGAGGAAGGUGGAGAAGGAGGACAAGAAUGACAAGUGGCAUCGAGUGGAGAGAAGCAGCGGGAAGUUCAUGAGGAGUUUCAGGCUGCCGGAGGAUGCGAAGAUGGAUCAGGUCAAGGCUUCGAUGGAGAACGGAGUGCUCACCGUCACUGUUCCCAAGGUGGAGGAGAAGAAGCCCGAGGUCAAGGCCAUUCAAAUUUCUGGUUAGAGUCUGGAAUAGUAACUUGCGAGUGCUAAUGUGAAUUCGAGGCUUCGUGUGUGCAGAGUCUGUGCGCUUCAUCUCUUUCUUGUGUUUUUGGAGAGUUGUAUGAACCGGGUGUUGUCUCUGAUACACUGAUGUAAUCUGAACUGGCAAUACUUUUCUGGAAAAAAAACUUUACGUUAAUGUUGCAAUUGCAGCUCCAUUUUAUCUGGUAAAUUUGAUUGCUCGAGUGGAUGUUUGCUUUACUCUUGAUCUUGCUUGCCUAUCUUUCAUUUGGCUUCAAAGCUUCAGGAAUUAUUUGGAUUUUUCCUAGCUAGCAGUUUGCGUAGUGUAUUAUCCACUUGUUCACGAGCACAAGCAAUACAGUGGGGACCAAAAAAGCUGCCAAUAAGAAGACAGAGAGAGAAAAACCAAGUGCUUCUUUAAAAAGUUCAAUUACUCCGAGCUUUCGCAAAUUAACUAUUUGGUGUGUCCUGUUUAUUUGUCCUCGAUUGUUGGGUCUCUUCUGCGUAGAUUUUCAAAGAGAGUAAAACUAGCCUGAAUCAGCAAAAGCCUGUGUGUGUGAGAGCUUAACUCUGCAUGGCAUUUCAUAUCUCUGAUUGGAAAAGAGAUGAAGAAGAUGGAAAAUCAAGGGCGAAAUGGUAAGAGAUUGGUCCUGGUCCCGGGACUAUUCCAGGGCCACCUCACUCCAUGCUUCAGCUGGCGAUAAUCCUCAAGUCCAAGGGCUUCUCCAUCACAGUUGCUCACAAUUUCAACAGUCCAGAUUCCUCUGUUUUCCCCUAUUUCACCUUCUUAUGCAUACCUGACGGCUUGCCUGAAGAGGAGGUUCAAAACCCUGAUCUGAUAGCCAUUAUGCUGAGGCUUAAUGUAACUGUGAGUCCAGCUUCAGGGAGUGCCUAACUAGGGGCACAAAUCAUAUGGAGCCGGGUGACAAGAUUUGCGGCAUCAUCUACAAUGCAGUAGUGUACUUCUCAGAAACCGUUGCCCACGAUUUGAAGAUUCCUAGCAUUGCUUCACACACGAGCAGUGCUGCUACUACCAUAGUCCGCUCGAUUCUUCUCCAGCUAAAGGCAUUCUGAUCCCAGGUACAUGUUGAAUUUCUCUUAUUUAAGUUACACUUAUUUCUUUGUUAAUUAAUAUUAUGGUCACGGAGAAUCUUGCUCAUAUUCCGUUUUGUUUAUGAGGAUGGAUGUAUUGCCGAUUUUUUUUUUGCAGUUUUAAAAUCUGUGUGUGACCCUCGGCAUGACCCUAUAGUUUAUGAUCCGAUGAGUCUCCUCUGUGCCUAUACCUUUUCUAAGAAUAGUUUCUCUGUCAUCAUCCAAGUUUGACACCUAUGCCAGAUUAUCCUGAGCACCGUCAAACCACUAAGUAUAUAAGCCGGUGGGUUCUAGCUCACUUGUCUCCGUGCUGACUAACAAAUGCCUUUUGAUGUGCUCUAUUAGAUUCCAUGUUGCAGGCUCCGGUGCCCCUGCGUCAGCUCCUCAGGUUCAAAGACCUACCACUCUCCAAUUUUGGAAGUUUGGACUAUUUCUUGGAGUUGGUAGUCUUGACCAGUGAUAUGAGGUCGUCUUUGGCCAUUAUAUUCAACACGAUUCACUGCCUUGAAGAGUCACCUCUGGCGCAGCUUUACCAACAGUACCAAGUUCCAAUUUUUCCAAUAGGCCCUCCACACAAACUCACUCCUACCUCAGCUGUUAGCUUACUGUAAAGAGGAUACUGAUUGCAUUCCAUGACUUGACGAGCAAACUCAUAAUUCAGUCAUCUAUGUGAGUCUGGGAAGCAUAGCACAUCAGAACCAAGACCAGUUGUAUGAAAUGGCUUGGGGUCUGGCAAAUAGCAGGGAGCCUUUCUUAUGGGUUAUUAGGCCUGGCUCAAUUCCAGGUUCGAAAUGGAUCUAGUCGAUGGAUGAAGAAUUCACAGAAUGUGUUAAGGACAGUGGAUGCAUUGUGAAAUGGGCACCUCGGAAGAAAGUACUGGCUCACGAGGCAGUGGGAGGGUUUUGGAGCCACUGUGGAUGGCACUCUACACUGGAAAGUAUAUGUGAAGGAGUUAUGAUGAUAUGUCAACCAUGCUUUGGCGCCCAAAAGGUGAAUGCGAGGUACUUAACUCAUGAAUGGAGGGUUGGAUUAGAACUGGAGGGGAAGAUAGAGAGAGGGACAGUAGAAAGAGCUGUUAGAACAAUGAUGAAGGAAAAGGAAGGUGAAGAGAUGCGGCAGAGGGUCUUGGAUUUGGAGCACAAGUGCGAUGUUAGUAUAGGUGAUGGGGGAUCUUCUUGCCAUUAUCUGAGCGAGCUAGUUGGGUUGUUGAGAUCAUUCUAGCAGCACAGAGUUGUUACUACUAAAGCACCGUAGGGAAUGAAAUUUGUGUAGUGCAGAAAGUGCAAAGAUUGUCUUCUCACAUUGAAGAACAGAACAAAACAGGUAAUGCUUUGAUGCACCGACAGGAAUUUGUUGGCUUGUCAUAUGCAAGAUUUGGUCUUCUGGCAUUGAAAAACAGAACAGAUAAUGCUUUGAUGCGCUGACAGAAAUUUGUUGGCUUGUCACAUGCAAGUUUGAGUUGAAUCAAUCUCUUUAUUUAUUUAUUUAUUUAUUUUUUAUCUCUAACCAGUAUACCUGAUCUGAAUGGGUCAAAUUCACUUCUCCUUUCGUAUAUAAAAAUGUUGAAUAAACUUGACAUGGUUAUUCAUUAUCUCACAAUUUUGAAACAAAAACUAUGGGACACUUAUAAUUUGAUGGGACAUAUUAGAUCUGUUUAAGAUAAGGACUAUUAAAACAAACUUGUCAAAUAUGUUUAGAUGUUUAAAGGUGUGCUCAAAUGUGCACAAAUAUUCUUAGUGUGUUGUGACUAACUUGUCAACAUCAAAUUUGUCUAAACAUUUUAUAGAGAGGAUCAAUCCAAAGAUGAUAGCAGUUGUGUACAAGCAUAUUGUUUCUUUGACGACACAAACCUGUGUAAGCUUGACAUGAUGACGUGCUGAGUAAAUGGGCUAUGUUGAUGUGUGCUCAGCCUCAUCUGAGAUUUUGAUUAACAUGCCCUAAUAUUAUGUCCGACGAAUGUUCUUCUAGUCUAGAAAAAAAAAAAAAAAAAAAAAACAAACGUCAGAAAAAAGUGGAAUACCUUUACGAAUGUCCUAUAUUGAUUAGGGGUGAGCGAUUCUGGGUUCCUUAGAGGUUCCGCCUAGAACCUAGAACCUAGAACUUACUAUCAGAUACAGAUUUCUCAUUUUUUGGAACCUAGAACCUAUCCUGUCACAGAUUUUAAGGUUGAUUUUAGGAUCCAACAUGUUUUUUUUUUUCAUUUUUAAUUAAACAAAGCGAAAAUGACGCAAUAAUAAUAAAUAAGCUUGUCAUUCAUCAAAGAGAAUACACAAAACUAUCAAUAGAAGAAAAUGAAUUCUUGGCAAGAAAUUCAACUAGAUAGAAGUAAGGAUGAAUGAAUCUAAGUUACAUACAAGUUUCACUUGAAACCUACCCGUUGGAACAUGCACCUCAUUUUUUUAGAACUAGAAACCUACCUUGCAUAUCCUAGAACUUGGAAUCUAUUCUGUCAUACGUUUCAAGGUUUACCUAGGUCCCACUUAUAUUAUUAUAUGAACGAUUACAAUUCACUAAUCAUAACUUAUAUUUAGAUAUAUGAAAAAUAUGAACAUUAAUAAAGUAAAAAUCUUAGCCACAAAAUGGAAAUUCGGAUUAGUGUUUUCAGAUUAUAUACUCAUUGUUGAAUAACAUAGAAUAUUGGAAGAUCGCAUGGAGAUAUGGAUCAAGAAAAAUAUUAAAACUUAUUUCAGGUUGUAGGUUACAGAUUUCAGGUUGUAAGUUCCGAGUUUCUCCAAUUAAGAACCUAGAAUCUACUCGUUGAAAUAGAUUUAUCAUUUUUUGGAUUUUGGAACCUAUUCUGCAUAUUUUGGAACUUGCAUACUUUAGAACCUAAAACCUAUAGGUUUUCAUCGGUCCUCACUCGUCCAGUUCUCAAAUUCCAGAUUCUAUCAUGAAACCAUGUUUACCCCUAAUAUUGACAACCUUGAUCUCUUGUCAUUUGGCAUUUUCAUUUCUCUGUCGCACUUUCAUUCAACGGUGAAAAAUGAAGAGUGCAUGCUGCUGGCGAGGGACCAUAAAUUCACUCCUCUUUUCCUUAAAGUUUAUGAAAGAAUAGCUUGAAAAUGAGGACUGACUGAUGAAUUUUCCUGUUUUGACAAGCCAAUGAUGGUAAAAUCGGACUCUUAGGCACUAUUUGGUAAUCAUCCAAACAAUGCCUGAUUUUGAUUUUUUGUUCCCAGAAUCGGUUUGGGAUGAGAAUCGCAUUUGGUAAUUUUUUUUUCUGGGAACAAAUUUGUUCCUGGGACGAGAAUCAAGAAUAAAAGAAAAGUUGAUUCUUAUUCUGGGAACAAAAUUGAGAAUCAAAACUCUUCUUCUUCUCUUUUCUUCUUCUUUAUCGAUCGCCAUCCCAUGACCGCCACCCGCCGCCGUCCACCACCGGUCGCUGCUGCCCAUUGCCAUCGGUCGCCGCUGCCCGCCGCCAGUCGCCAGCGAUCGGUUCGACAAGCUCACCAAGCUAAAGCGAGGUCUGGCGAGCUCGCCGGUGGCCAAGCGGGCCUUGCCCAACUACUGGCGAGGCCGAGCUGACGAGGGCCGGCGACCGGCUUGAAAAAGAAUUAGAAUAGGAGAAAAAAGAAAAAAAAAAAGGAAAAAAAAGGAAAAAAGAAAAGAAAAAAAAUGAAAAAAUGAAAAAAUUAUUUAAAAAUUAAAAUAAAUUGAUUUGGAACAGAAUCAAUGAACACGGUACCAAAUGCAAGUAUAUGUUAAAAUCAGAAAUUUUGUACAAUUACCAAACACGUUCUUUUACUCAGAAUUAGUAUCGGGAACAGAAUAAAUAAUAAUAAUUUUUGAUCGGAAUUUGUUUUUAGGAACAUAAUCAUUACCAAGCGCGCCCUUAUUAUCAUGAUUUUAUUGUAUGGAAUCUUCUAUGGUCCAUCAGAUUGACGGAUUUUAAGGCCACAACAAAUCUUAACUGCCCGCAUUCAUGUAACCUCUAUACAAAAUGUUGUGAUACACUAAAAUUUGAAGGCAAUCACGAUAAUAGGCAAGAUACUCUUCAUUGAAUUCGGCGAUUGUUGACCGUUACGAAAUCUAUUCCAAAUGAUCCUUAGAAACACCCUAUUCUAUGAUCUCUUGAGGGACUAAUCUCUCACUGAAUCUCAUUGUGUUCGAGUUACUUAGUCCUAAACCUUUUAACAAUUUACCAAUUUACUUUUUAACCUUUCAAUUGCGAUAAUUUAGUUCUGAAGUAUUUGGUAAUUUGCUAAGAUAUUCAUUUCUAUGCAUCAUUAUUCUACUGACUUAUACAUCUUCGCUUGAAUAGUUACAUAUUUUCAUACAAGACAAUAUUUUUUCUGAUGUGUUCCACAUGCUUUUUAUAAUUUAUUUAAUAUAGUGCAUUGGAUUUUCAAAUAUGUGACUUAACUAAUGCUCGUGGUAUAAUUAAUAAUUAUGUCAGAAAAACCGAUUUCUUAUUUUCAAAAGUAAAAUAUUCAGAACCCCUUUGAUUUGGUGAUUUUUCCUCGUGGCCUCGCUUUUAAUGUAAUUUUAGCGUUACGUAAAUACCCCCUCUGUCCAAUCAGAUGAUUAGGGAUUUAGGAGGAUACUUGCACAUAUAUUGGGGGAAGGAACUCGUAGAAAAUGACGACAGCAUGCAAGAGAAAAGAAAGUAUUUUAUGUGAUGAUUACAGUAUGAUCGUGAGGAUGUGGUGAAAUCGAAUUUAUAAUUAGUUGCAUGAAUCUUAUCUUAGUUGACGUCAUGCCUAUUGCAUUUUCACUUUUAACUGACUUGUUACACCACUUGUUGUUGCCAUGUAAUGUAAUCGAUGAUGGCGUAAUCAUUGUGUACGAUGGCAUGGGCAGAAGUAAUGAUAAUUUAUUGAAAUUAUUGAAGAUGGAAUUGUGGAAAGUGAAAUAAUGAAAACGAGAUUUGGUUAAAAUUUAACGACUGUACUCGCUAUUGACUUUUUCAAUGAAGAAAAGGAACGUCUGAGAAAAAGACCGUGAGUACUAAUAGAAAAUGACAUCUCGUAGCUGGGGUUAGAAGUACCAUUGCUCUAACAUUAUUGGCCCAGUAUCAUUACCUAUUAGCAAAAUACCAUAUUUUCCUUACAGAUGGUAUUUCUCUAAAAGUAUCCGUUUGAUUGGUGGAAAGAUAAACAUGAUUCGACCAAUUAAACUAUAAGCCCAUAUGGAUCACCAAUUAAACUAUAAGCCCAUAUGGAUCUCUACAUGCAAUUCGCUCACUUUGGCAAGAGUGGACGGAAAGAGAAGGCCUUUGCUCUAUUUGCUUCUUCCUCUUUCUAGAAAUGAACAAUUGCAAAAAUAAUUUUCUUUUAUUAUUUUAUUAAUGAUAAAAUAAUAGAAUAAAGAGAUAGAUAGCCUGAUUUUAUUCCGAUAGAUUGAAAGAGUAGGAAUGGUUAAAGAGGAAAUCUCCUCUUUCUAUUUAUUGAUGAGACAAUUAUUGAUUUCUUGCCUAAUCUAAAUAAUAGAAGUUCCUUUUUAUUUUCAUAAUGUCAGCAAGAGUGUUGAUUCCGUGCAUUAAAAUCAUAGAUCCUGUUGUGACUUCCCUUGACCUUUGGAUUUGUGUCAAUCCUCUUGUUUCAACACUAGUUGGUCAUCUACUAAUUUGAUAAACUGGUGGGAUGAUUUCAAAAUCGAAUUCACUUUGUUGAUGGUGCAAUUGAUUAGCUUAUGAAUUUUGACUAAGUAUAUAGCGUGGUUCCUGAAUUUUAACUCAAUAUGCAAUGUGAUUUUCGCACUUUUAAUUUGUUUAAUAUAAAUUUUGAAUUUUUAGUAAAUAUCCGAUUUAAUCCUUAAAUAUGAGAAAAUAUUUAAUAUUAUACUUUCGUUCAUGUGUUUUAAUUGACCAACCAGGAUCUGGUGGUGCCGGAAAAGUACUGGCGAGGCCCAGUCCGCAGUUUCCAGAUGGACCAACCGGGUUCGCCAUUUCGCUUGAACGGUCGUCCGCCGAAACUCGGAAAGACCGCGAAGGUACGAGAAUGAUCCUCUCUUUCCUAUUUAACUCCCUACUUCCCUGCCCAACCCCUAUCGUUGAACGAUAGCAAUUCUCAUAAUCUACUUCACGCAUUCUAUCGGACACUUUGUCAACUCAGUCUCACGUUUUCAUUGGUAACCCAGCAAGGCAACAACCAUGUCGCUCAUCCCAAGCUGGUUCGGCGGCCGUCGCAGCAACGUUUUCGACCCUUUCUCCCUCGACCCCUGGGACCCCUUCAAGGACUUCCCUUUCCCUUCCUCAUCCCUCUCUGCCUCUAAUUUCCCUCGAACGUUCCGGGGGAACGCCGCCGCCUUCGUGAACACGAGGAUCGACUGGAAGGAGACCCCGGAAGCCCAUGUGUUCAAGACGGAUCUCCCCGGGCUCAAGAAGGAGGAAGUCAAGGUGGAGAUUGAAGACGACCGGGUGCUCCAGAUAAGUGGCAAGAGGAACGUAGAGAAGGAGGACAAGAACGACACGUGGCACCGGGUGGAGAGGAGCAGCGGCAAGUUCAUGAGGAGGUUCAGGCUGCCGGAGAACACGAGGAUGGAUCAGGUGAAGGCAUCGAUGGAGAACGGGGUGCUCACCGUGACUGUUCCCAAGGUGGAGGAGAAGAAGCCUGAGGUCAAGGCCAUUGAGAUCUCCGGUUGAGAGUUGGUGAAUCCAUGGUCCUUGUUGCGACUUAUGUCCAUAGAUAGAGCAAAUAUGCUGUCUUAUGUGUGGGUUUCGUGUGUCCUCAGCUGGGAGGCUCGGUUCCCUGGUGUCUGAUAUGGCGAUGUAUUGCCUCACUACGACUCUUUACUUGUAUUGAAAUUGGAGAUUACCAUUUCCUAACUUCUAUUUGAUGUUAUCUUGGUUCCUCAAAGCCUUUCGAUUGUGGUUUGUUCGUGGGAUGCUGCUUUUUUGAUUCGCAUACUGCUUUGUCGGACGGGAGUUAUGACUAGUUUUGUUCUUGUCGGAUGAUUAAUUCAAAUUGUGGGAAGGAUCCAUCAGAAGUGCAAGUGCCACACUUUGCACAUUGGUAUCGUUUUUUCAAUUGGGUUUGGAGGUACUUGCAAUAUAGAGAAGCUGAUAACUUUGGGAUUACAACCGGUUAGAAACCAUGUUACUCCCUAUGAGCUCAGCCCAAGGUGCGGGGUUGGGUUCCUUCUGCUGCAUUCGAUCACAUUUAUCAAAUAAUAGGAUAAAAUAUCGCAGUUAGCCUUUUAUUUCCUCGUGACAAUCAUCAGAUCAGAGAGAGAUGAUGAAAUUCACUAGUUCCUCUAUUGCAGCGUGCGAAGAACCUCCUUUUUCGAUGCUCAACUUGAUUUGGUCUUUGAAAGCCGCGGCUCUCAGCCUCAUCUCUUUCCCUUCCUCACCAGCCAUCAGCCUCCUCACAGCUUGCUCUAUCUCUUUCUGGUCUAGAUUACCCUCCAACUCCAAUCCCACCCUCCAAAGGUGGCACAAGUACCUCGCGUUCACAUUCUGGUCCAUGAAGCAGGGUCGGCAUAUCAUUGGGACUCCUUCGGAAAUGCUUUCCAAGGUUGAAUUCCAUCCACAAUGGGUCCAAAAGCCUCCCACAGCACGAUGUGCUAAAACAUCCUUCUGUGGAGCCCAUCUCACAACAUGGCCAGUAUCUCCGAUGGCUUCUUUGAAUCCUUCUGGCAACAGCUCGAUCCAUUCUGAGCCUCUGACUGAGCCAGGUCGGACCACCCACAAAAAUGGCUGGCCGCUCUUUGCCAGCCCCCAAGCUGUCUCUACAAACUCUCUUUCAUCCAUUGAAGCCAAGCUUCCUAAGCUCACAUAUAUGACUGAAUUAUUAGCUUGCUUAUCAAGCCACGACAGGCAUUCAGUUUCUUCUUCCAAUAUGCUGGUUGGUGAAGCUGGAGCAACUUUGUGCAAUGGGCCUAGUGAGAAAAAUGGCACAUGGUGUUUUUUUUGGACUUGGUCGGAUAACUGUUUCUCCAGGCAGUCCACUGUGUUCCAAAGAAUGGCUGAAGAUGUCUUGACAUCGAGCGUGGUAGCUAUUAAUCGCAUCAUUGGUUCUGGAUCACUAGUAAAAAGAGGCAAGUCCUUGCAUCUCAAGGGAUAAGCGCCUGGAACUGGAUCUUUCGACGAAUGAUCUGUAAAGUCAAAAAUACUGCUGCUUAGCAUGUGUUGCUUCUACGAUUUCGUAGUCUGAUGAAAACAUUAAAACUAGUCCGAAAUUUGAAUAUUCCAGCAAGUUAAAAAAGAGAUGGUCCUUUUAUUCCUAUUUUGUACUCAGUGGACAUUCUUUCUUCCUUCCUAGUCGGAUUGCUCUACAUAAAGGUGAGAAUAUGAUCUUUCACAAGCAGUUUCAGCAUGUGUGGUGCCGUUGACUUCACUUCCAAGCCGUCUACUCUGAUUAAACGAAGAGGUAAUAGGUGGUUUUGACAGCUGGGCUAACGUCUACUGAGUGGUUCGUCUUCUGGAAACUGAGUCGCCGUGAAGACCUAGUAUGCUUACCUUGUUUUUGCAGCAAGUGCUUUUUACGAAAACACAAAGAUUCCCUGUUAAAGUACUACUUGGUGAGUCGAAGAAAAAGAAAAUUACGAGCCAAGCUCAAAAUGUGUCAACAUGGACUAAUGAUUAGUUGACUCUCUAUUUAGCUUGGCUAAACGAUCUCCUCAAAUUUUGAAGAGACCCUAAAUUUUGCUGUCACAUUUCUUUGUGAUAAAAACACAAUUGAAUCAGAAGCCCUUCCAGUUUAUCGAAGUUCCACCAAAGAAAGUGUAUCCUUAACAUCCAAUUGAUGCCGCGUGCUUGUUACUCUUGAUUUCUAGUGAAAUUACUGUCAAACUACAUCACAGAGGUAACUAGAAGUUUAUUGCGCAUACUGAUAUCUGAUGGUUUAUUGUAUCUGUUACUAUAUGAGGAUUGAACAUACCUUUCGCUGGAAAAUAACCUUCCUUUUGGAGCCGAGGCAGUUCGGAGAAAAUCAGCUGAGUGCUGAUACUACUAGUGCGCAAAGCCAUGCUAGGAACUUUCAUAUAAUGAGCUGCGGCUUCUGCACAGUACAUGAGCGUAUCAUAAAUCACGCAAGAGAUUUUACUCUCGGUUGCUUCAUCCUGAGCCAUCAUAUCUGACAAUAGUUGGCAGAGAGGUCCUUCACAGUUGGUGUUGAGACUCGCGAAAAUAGCUGCGGCAUCCCCGGAGGAGAGGACGUCCUUCGGUAGGCAGUCAGGAAUAGACAAAAAGGUAAAAUUGGGGAAACCAAAUGGAUGGGGAUGAUUGAAGUGAGUGUGAGCUAUUACAAUAGAGAAGCCCUUGGAAUGCAGGAGGGACCCCAAAUUGAGCAUCGGGGUUAUGUGUCCUUGAAAUGGGCAGGGGACUAGCACCAAUCUACGAUUGCUUCUCUGCCCUCGUUCCUCCAUUUCUCUCAUGUCACUACAACCAGAGCCUCGUUCCUGGAUGAACUCGUCAUAUCAAUGGUCUUAUAUUCAAUACUGGGUCGUCGGUGAAAUGUUUAAGGAAAACAAAGAGAAAUCCUCUCAUUAAUUUGUUUUUCUUGCCUGGAGAGAAAAAUAGAAAAUUGGUAAACAAAUUAAUUACAUCAUUGAAGGGAGACGGGCUAAUUGAAAAUUGGCUGUCGCACCAUGAGACGUGGGGGAAACACCUACCCCAGGACACCAGAAAUUGGCUGUCGCACCAUGUCCGGCUUUGUUUAAUCUCACGAAAGAAUAUUCUUUUUCUCUGGCAAGAUUUCUAGUUGAUUUGAUUCCAUCCCAAAACUUGCUCUUAUCUCUUUGCGGAUUCAAAUUAUUUUGCUGCUGAGGCGACUCCCCCUAUGCGAUGGCAUUGAAGUCCACUGCUACUGACAUCACCAGAAGCUCGUUAUAUAUAAGAAAUGGGGAGGUUAUAACUUGUUUUAAACACUAGUGCUUAUAACUUUCUUGGCAUAGGAACUUUUCGCUGGUUUUCAUGUGAACCUUAUACACAUAAAUGUGUUAUAAAAGUUGACUUCCGGAAGGCCUAUGACACCGUAGAUUAGUGGUUCCUUGAGAGUGUGCUACUUACUUUUCAAUUCCCUGAUCAGCUGGUUUACCUCAUCAUGACCCGUGUGAGGACUCCUCAGUUUUUCAUUGCGUUGAAUGGGGAGCUUCAUGGUUUUUUUAGGGGUGUGCAAAAUACCCGGGAACCGCCCGGACCGCCCAGAACCGGAUCGGAACAGCUCGGAACCGGCGGUUCUUGAGGGAACCAGUCCGGUUCCCAGUUCCAAUUUAUGGGAACCGGUGGGUACCGGUCCUGUUCCCGGUUCCAUGGGCAGAUCCGCCCGCCCACCCACCCAGACCGGACCGGAAUCUUUUUAAUAUUAAAAAAAAAAUUACUAAAAGAAACCCUAGAUCUCAUCUCACUCCCUUCGUCUUCGGCUCCUAAUCCUAUCGCCAUUUCGUUGCAUUUACUUCUCCCACCGUCCGCAUUUCCACGUACUUAAAUUUGGUUUUUCUUUCUUUGACUUGCUUUGAUGUCACGUAGUCGUUCUAUGUUGAAAACCAAAAUUGAUUCAUGUCAAGAUCGGUUCCAUGGAUCCACCUGGGAACCGGACUGGACCGAUGGUCCGGUUCCCGGGUGGAUCCAUGCAACAAACAGGUGGAUCCCGGUUCCAAUUUUUUGGAACUGGUCCUUAGCGGGCGGUUCCUGGUUCUAGGUUGAGAACCGCCUGCUCGAACCAUGCACACCCCUAGUUUUUUUUCCCAGUGGAAGGGGCUUGUGUCGGGGGGAUCCCAUAUCUCCCUACUUAUUCACGCUAGUUAUGUAGGUACUCUAUGGGAUUCUUGGGAGAUGCUCGCGUCAGCUGGACUUCAGGUUCUUCUGAAGAUGUAAGUCCACUAGCCUUUUGCACUUGUUUUUCGCAGACGGUGUGUUUCUUUUCUGUGAAGGUCACUUGCCUUCUAUUAAGCUACUUAAAGAAGGUCUUCAGAGUUUUUCAUUAUGGAGUGACCUUAUUUCGAAUUAAAUGAAGAGCGAGGUAUUCCUCUCUAGAGGCCAACCGACUCUUCGGAUCAAAUCUUACUGGAACUUGGAUUCCAUGAGGGGCUCCUUCCAGUUCGGUAUCUAGGCGUUCCAAUCAUCUCAUCGAGGCUGGAGAAAGCGGACUAUGUUGCUCUUGUUAGGUGUAUCACCUCUAAGGUAGAAUCUUGGACACAUUGGUUCCUUUUUGUAGCUGGUCGUCUUCAACUGAUCAGAUUAGUUCUUUAUGCCAUUCAGGCCUAUUGGGUGAGUGUUUUUAUUCUGCCCGCAGCAGUGCUGGAUAAGAUUGAGCAGAUCUUUAGGCAAUUCCUCUAGAAAGGAUUUCAGUUGGGUAAAGGGGGAGUCAAAGUAUCCUGGGAGGAUGUUUGCCUUCCUAAGGUGGAAGACAAUCUGGGUAUCCAGAGGUUGCGUGAAUGUAACAAAGCGGCUAUGCUCAAACAUAUCUAGAUUUUAUUUUCAGAUAAAGAGUCUCUUUGAUGCAGAUGGAUCCACUCAACCUUCUUAAAAAUGGGGAACUUAUGGGUGGUGAAGCAGCCGACCUGUUGUUCUUGGGCUUGGAAGAAACUACUACAACUCAGGACAGAAUUCCGGCUUCGCUUCCACUGAAGGAUAGGUGAUGGUCUAUCCACGUCCCUUUGGUUCGAUAAUUGGCAUCCUAAGGGCCCGUUGAAUCUAAUUUUCAUAGAUCCGCUCAUCUAUAGCUUCGGUCUUUCUAGGUAGGCUUCAGUGGCUAAUUUCUUCUUGGAGGACGGCUAGUCUAUUGGAUCGGUGAUUCAAACAUGAGGCUCGCCACUUCCUACCUUGACUAGUGUUAUGGAUCGAUUUUGUUGGAGGGAGGCUUCUUUGGGCGUGUUCUCGAUGGCCUCGGCUUGGGAGCUUAUAAGGCGAAAGAAGGAGAGAGUUAGUUGGCAUGGUCUCAUCUGGAACAAUGCCAUCCUACCUCAGUUCUAACUGAACCUUUGGCUCAUCACCAAGUGCAGGCUACCUACACAGUCUCUUCUUAUGUCCCAUGGCGGGAUUGAUGCUGUGUCUUGCCCCUUCUGCAAAGAGGUACCAGACUCGGUCGAUCACCUCUUUUUUGGUUGUCACAUCACUUCGACUGUUGCCUUCUUUUAGGCAACUAAAUGUGGUCUUCCUUGGAGUAAUAAGCCUUGGGAGGAAAUGCUUAGUUGGGUUUCAGCCUUGCUCUUGGGCAAGGAAUUUUAUAAAUGCAUUGGUCGAUUCUCUUUCGGAGCACUCUGCCACAUCAUUUUGAAGAAUAGAAAUGAUAUUCUCUUCAGGGGUGUGCAGAUUUCUACUUCGGCUAUGAAGAAGCACCUUUUAAAGGUUGUUAAAGAUAAUGCUUGCACCUUCAAGAAUGUGGAGGAUUCCCCAAGAAAUAGAAGAGUGCAACGUUCCUGGGAAGUGGACUCGGCUAUCUUCGACGUCUGAGUUGGCCUUGCCUGGGUAGACACUUGGUGCUGCUUUGUGUCCUUCCUUGGUGUGUUAUCUUGUUUUGGUGCUAUUGGUCAAUUGGCCUUUUUUCGGCUUCCUUUCACUCAUCAUGAGCCUGUUCAUCUUGAGUGACAGUUUUUUGAAGCCGUUUGUCUGUACUUUUUGACCUUUCCCUUAAUAUUACUUACCUUACAAAAAAAAAAAACUUUCUUAAAAAAGUCACCAUACGGAAGUAGUACUUGGUAUAUAUGAAUGUUUUGUAGCAGAAACUCACAGGCUUAAGUAAGCUGACAAAGCUUGUCUUAGUCAAAGACAGUUGGAGAUAGCAGGACUCAGAAGCAAAAGAGCUUCGAAGUCUGCAUCCUUUCAGACACCUUUCUAUUUCUCGAGACAAAAUCAAGUGCAUCAAAGAAAUGUAAAGCUCCAUGAUUCAGCUGCUAUGAAAUUCAAACUAAUCAGAGGGGCUUCUCAUGUUCUUUUUUCACAAUAUGAGAAAUGCUAAUGUUUUUUGAGUAGAACGUUCAAAGAGAACUAGCAUUCGGAGGCCUGACAGAUUGAGAUAUGAAAUCAGAUUUCUUAUUUGAAAGCUUCAUAAAGACCAAUAAUGCUCUUGCUUCUUCCUGUCGUCGAAUGACACGAGCAGUCUCAUUGGGAUUGACUUAAGAAUGAAUGUUCCUCCUCAGGAUGUUAUCUCUACAACGACAACAGGAGCAACCGAGCCUCAUCCCACUAAGUGGGGUUAGUGAUAGGAAUUAUAUUAUGCUGUUGUGCUUGAUCUUUUUCUAGAUUUUCUAUGAGCUCUUCCACGUUUUUCUAGGAUUUCCCCUACUCCUUUUAACUAAUACAUCCCAUCUUUGUUCACAUUGCCUCGCCGGGGCACCUAAAGGCCUUUGUUCGACAUUACCUAAUGAUCUCAGACGGCCUUAUCUCAUCUGAAGGCCUUCUAGAUGUUAUGCUGAGAUCUAGUGGCCACACUUCUUUCAAUUGUAAAGCCAUGCACCUGGCAAAAUGGACAGACUAUUUGAGAUUUCCAUUGGUUGCAUAAUCUCAAGGAUCUAGAAAAACCUACUUUCUAUCAAAAUAGGUGGAGACUAAAUCACGUGUUCUCACACGGCCUUUUUAGUCUCUUUAGAAAGGUAAAACUAAAUAGUCACUCAACCUCCUCUUUACCACUAGUUAGGGAAGGCUGCAUGUUUCAAUAACUGUUCAAAACAUCUAGAAUUCAGAGGAUUUAUGUCAUUUUCUCUGCCAUUUCUUCAUUUUUUGGUGGGAAAAUGACAUAAAUCGUCCAUGAAUUUUGGUCUAAUGUGCAAUACCGUUCAUUAAUUUUUAAGUUGUUCUAUGUACCUGUUGAACUUUGAUCCAAUGUGGAAUGUCAUUCUUCAACUUUUAAUUUGUUAAAUAUGAUGGACUAUUGAUAGAUGUUCUAUUUAACCUCCUAGAUUAUGUCAAAUUGACAUAAACGGAAUGACUAUAUUGAACGUUUAUCAGUAGUUUAGGGAUUAUUAUAUAGAUUAAAAGCUUGAGGACGAUAUUGCAUAUUAAGUUCAAGGACUACGCUGUGCAAAUUAAAAGGUCAGAGAUGAUAUUGUAAUUGGAUCAAAGUUCAUGGACUAUUUGAACUAUAAUCCCUUCUUUGGUUGAGAAACGAUAACAAAAAUAAGAUCCCAAACUUAAGACACUUUAUGGGAAAAAGGGUAGUGACAGAGACGUUUGUUUUCUUUUCAACAAUAACUUUCUCUUAUUCACAUUGUGAUGUAAGAAAGCUAUUAUAGACAAUAUAUGGAUUUAGGUCGUCUCACGUAGCGCAGUAUGAAUUGAUGCUUCAUUGCAUUAUGCUCACAUAAAGAGCAUGCAUGUAAUUAUUGCAUAAAUAAGGUCACAAACACACAUGUUGAAUCGAUAUUUUAACUUGAGUAAGCAAUCUAGGCGAGCCUAAGACAAAAUUUUUGGAUAGGAGUGUGAUAUCUUGAAUUUCAGGAUUUUGUUUUCAAUUGAAUAAGUUGGGCUUUUUAUCGACGUGCCUAUAGCCUUUUUCUCUGGGUUGGCCACUCACGAGAUAACUAGCCUAUCAGGUGAAGCCAUUAAGGAAUUUUAACGUGAUAGAUUUGAGAAUUCGACCAGGAAUCAAUUGCUCGACCGUGCUAAUCUAUAAGAGUCGUUAUGGCAUAGUUAAAAAUCGAUUAGAGACCGGAGAUAGGUUGAUUCAACUUAGGCACGUGAUUAAGUGUGGGUGAUUCCACCUAAUUGCAAAAUUCUCGUUGAUCGACACUAGAUUGAUUUUUCUAUCGUUUUGGUAUCCUGUGUCCAUAUUUGAAACCUCGAGAUUUUCACAAUAAUCAAGAAUCGCCAAUGCGUCGAAGAGAUAUGUUGUGGCUCGAAAACAAUUGACCACAACUCAAUUGCACUAAAAAUUCCUAAAAAUUACCCGUAGAUUAUGUCACACUAAAAUCGCGUCAGAUUGAAAUUAACCAUGAAAUUGAAACUUUCUGUUAUGUCACAAUUUAUUUUAGGAACGUCGACUCAUCAUUUGAAGAAUUUUUAGCAAGUUUGGGAUUUUUACGGAAAAUCAUUUCAGACGAUUUGGAAAAUAACGGAAAUUUGGAUGGGCUAAUCGAAUGGAUUUUUGACUUCCAAAUCGAGCUACUUGGCGAAAGGAAAUUGUAGAAAUUGUAUGGGCUUCUUCUUCAUUAAAAUCGGACACCAAAUUUGUCACAACCCAAACCUCGAGCGCAUGCACAUCCCUCGGUGGUCGAUAAAAUUUUGCGACGUCCUAGGAAGUGUCGCCGACCCAUUUAGUUUAUGGCACAUGUGGAAACACAAUAACAAUCUCCAAACAACAUAAAAGUGGGAUAUAAACGUAGGAUAAUAUUUUCACAAAACACACUUAUAAUAUAGCAAUGUAUAUAUACAAAAAAGUCUAACACCAUAUGGAUCUAUUUCAAAAAGAAGAGCUUUUGGGCUAUCUACGCUCUGAGCCCCUCUUCCAUGAGACUAGAGUCUCCUCCGAUCUUGUCAGACUUCUUGAUAACCAAAGGGUGAACUGUUACCCACUGUCCAAAUUAGAUCGAAGGCCUGUUGACAUCUGGCAGGAACUAAAGAAAAACCCAUACUUCACUUCUUGCGAACCCCUGCACCUUGCUUGAUGAUCUUCCAUCUAGGGACCUGAAAAUGGUUAUACAAUAACCAGUGAGACAAUAUCUCAGCGAGUCCACUCCUUAAACCUCGAUUAGGAGAAGAAUACACCCAUGGGUAACCUAACCACAUUUCCUCAAACUCAUCUGGUACCAAUAUUCUCAUGCGCGUCAGUACCAAUUAAUUUGCAUAUAAUCGAAUGGAAAUCAUGUAUCAUUGAGACAUCUCGACAUGUAUACACAUAUAAUUAUAUAUCAUCACUGAUUCAUGGGCCUCGAUUACUAAAUCAAAUUGUUAUGAUACGUCCCAUACCGCACCACACAAUUCCAUCUUUUAAUUAAGCCCCUCAAUUUCAAUUAUUCAUGCGUCCCAAUUGAUUAUGAUCCAUUGGUCACGGCCGACUCAAUAGUUAGCGGUCUUCCGGCUUAACUGGGUUUCGUCUCGUACCAUCGAGCAUAGCAACGUUUACAUUUAGAUGGCAUUCCUCAAAGGAGCAUCGGCCCAACAUCCACUACGAUCGGCAUCUGUUGACUUGGGGUAUUCUCGAAGAAGCAUCAUCCAGCCCCAAAGGCGUGUGACGGCAUAUCAUAUCAUUCAUGCAUUCAUUCAAUUUCGGCCAACGACACCAUGUAUUGCACUCAAAUGUCUCAAUUAAAAUAGUGAUCUUAGCCUAUUUUCUUCAUAUUAUAAAUACAUGGUAAAAUAAUUGUGUGUGGUGACACGAUCAGUAGAACCAGAAAAUUUGUAUCAUCUUUUUUAAAAUCUCACUGUUUGAUAUAGUACUUAAAAACACUUUUGGUAUCCAAAACCUAACACCCGGUAUUUUUUAAUUAAAUACCAAAUUUCCGCUAUUUUGAAUUAAAUAUUCACAAUUAACAACCAUCACUCAAUUGCACAAUUUAACAGUCAAUGGCAUAAAUUGAACAUACUAUUGAAAUCAGCAUGAAAUUUCGGUCACCGGCUAUCCCGGUAUAGUUUCCGGAGAAUAUUAAAUAAUUAAUUAAAUUAUAAUUAAAUCAUUUAAAUUAAGUAUUUAAUUAAUUACUGAUUAUCAAAUUUCGCUACCAAUUAAAAUUGAUCACAACUUGACCCACUUAUUAAAAUGUCUAGCUACAUUAAUGCCUUAUAAUAACCUCAUAGGUUAACUAUUUAAUUAAAUACUCAAAUCCCUAACUAAAUAGUCUAACUACCUUAACUAACUUGUCUAACUACCUAGUUCUCCUAAUUAACUUAGCUAACUAAUUUUUACCCUAACCAAACUAAUUGUUAAUCUUAAUUAAGCCUAAUCCAACACUUAAUAAGUGUAAUCAACUCCUAAUCAAUAAUUAGGAAACUAACUCACCUAAAUUAAAAGCUAAUAACUUCUGGUGGUGGCGGAGCAAUGGCAACUAGACAUUGGCCUCCGGGGGGUGCCGGAGGGGGUCUGGUCGACCUGGCACAGGCUUGCAAGACCCUCGGCUUACUAUUGGGAAGCUGUCUUCUUGGCUGGUUCAAGCUGAGCAACGAUGGCGCAAGGUAGCAGCGUAGCGGCGCUGAUUGGCUGGUUGGUAGGUUGGUUUGGCGCUGCUGAAGUUCCGGUGGUAGGGCAAUAACAACGACGAAGAGGCGGGGUUCUAUGGUGGGGAUGGUGAUUUGAGACAGAGGAUGGGUGAGCUGUGGAGUAGCGACAACAACGGUGGACAAAGGUGCUGAGUUUCCGGCGCAUAGUACAGGGGUCGUACCGGUUGUGGCAAGCUGUCGGCCUGCUGGUGGGGGUGACUAAUUAGCAACCAAAGGCCAACUCUAGGAGAAAUGGAACAUGAAAGGCAACUGGAUUCGGGGUGAUGCUGGUUCUGAAAUCAGCAGCACCAAAAAAGAGCUCUUCUCUGUUUUUGGCUAUUGUGUGGUUGGCAAAAGGGGAAACGGGGGAGGCCGAACACUUAAAGAAGAACAAGACAAGGAAAUUUUCUAUAGGGAAAAAGAGAGGAAAAGGAAAAAAAGAGAAAGGGAGAGAGAGAGAAGUGGUUGCACGACACAAGGAGGGAGGGUUCGCACGGAUGGGGAGAGAGAAGAGAGAAAAACAGACCAUGGAAGGUCCCCCCUCCAUAUUUUCACACUUAGUCUGUUUUUCAUGGAAUAUGAGGUCCUUUCACUCUCAAGGGACCUACCACUCCCAAAUGAGUAUCCAUCCCCACAUGCACCCCAAAUGAAGUUGAAUUCCCGUUGUGUAUGUAGACCUUCGAAUUUGAAGACUUUACAUUACAUUCUUUCUUUUUUUCACUUUGCCAUUUAAUAGACUUAGAUAACAAAGAUAAGGCCUCAAUUAAAUCCUCAUAAUUCCGAUCUCCAAUGGUUUCACAUUGAAGACAAAAAAUCCAUUUAAAUUAUGGCAUUUUCCAUUCACUUAACUUGCUGCAAUUUGAAUUUCCCAUCAAAAUUUCAAGUUUAUCAAAAGAUCUUGAGAGGGUGCAUCGGCGUUCCUAGAAUUAAUUGUGAUAUGCUAGAAUUCUCAAUUUCUGAAAUCGGAUUAAAUUUCACGGUUAAUUUCAAUCUGACGUGAUUUUAACUUGAUCUAAAUUACCGGGUAAUUUUGAGGAAUUUUUGGUACAAUUGACUCGUGAUCAAUGAUUUUCGAACCACAAUGUAUAUUUUCGACUCAUUGGCAAAUCUCGAUUGUCGUGAAAAUCUUGAGAUUUUAAUUACGGGCACAGAGUACCAAAACAACAGAAAAAUCGGUUUAGUGCCGAUCGACGAGAAUUUUGCAAUUAGGUAGAAUCACCCACGCCUAAUUAUAUACUUCAAUCGAAUUGAUCUAUCUUCAGUCUCUGAUAGAUUUUCGACUGUACUGCAAUGACCCUUGCAGACUAACAUGGUCGAGUAGUCAAUUCUUAGUCGAAUUCUCAAGCCUGUUGUAUUAAAAUCUCUUAAUGACUUCUCCAAAUAGUCUAGUUAUCUCAUGAGUGAUUGGCUCAGAGAAUAACACAAUAAGCACGUGAUAAAAAGCUCGAUUUAUUCAAUUAAAAACAGACGUGGAAAAUUAGACCAUCACAAAAUUGGAGAGGAUUGCGAAAAAUUUGAAGUCCAAAAAUAAGGAAAUUCGGAGGUUGGUUUGUGGGCUGGAAUUUUGGCUUCAAAUUAGUUUAUUUGUGGAAUUAAUAUACAAGAAAGUAAUUUGAGACAUGAGGAAUAAGAUUGGAGACUAGGGGGACCAAGCAUUGAUUAUUUGAGAUAAUCCUUUGACUGUUUGCUCCUCUCUCUCAUCCAGCUUCUCGGGCACGCCUUGCCGGUCUUCAUCUUCUUCAAAAUUUUCUACCUCAGCUGAAGACUUCAUCCAUUUUUCCUUGCUUCUGUUUUGUCUGCUUUUCUUUCAUUCUGUCAAAGUCCCCCCCACCUGCUCCGAUUUGAAUUUCCUAUCAAAAUUUCUAGUUUGUCAAAAGAUCUUGAGAGGAUGUAUCGACGUUCCUAGAAUUAAUUGUGACACGGUAAAAUUCUCAAUUUCUGAAAUCGGAUUAAAUUUUAAGGUUAAUUUCAAUCUGACGCGAUUUUAACAUGAUUUAAACUACCGGGUAAUUUCGAGGAAUUUUUGGUACAAUUGACCCGCGGUCGAUGAUUUUUGAACCACAAUGUACAUCUUUGACUCAUUGGCGACUCUCGGUUAUCAUGAAAAUCUUGAGAUUUCAACUACGGGCACAGAGUACCAAAACAAUAGAAAAAUCGGUUUAGUGCCGAUCGACGGGAAUUUUGCAAUUAAGAGGAAUCACCCACGCCUAAUUAUAUAUCUCAGUCGAAUUAAUCUAUCUCCGAUCUCUAACAAAUUUUCAACUGUGCCGCAAUGACCCUUGUAGACUAACACGGUCGAGCAGUCGAUUCUUAAUCGAAUUCUCAAGCCUGUUGCAUUAAAAUCCCUUAAUGACUUCCCCAAAUAAUCUUGUUAUCUCAUGAGUGAUUAGCUCAGAGAAUAACACAAUAGACACGUUGAUAAAAAGCUCGAUUUAUUCAAUUGAAAACAGACGUGGAAAAUCAGAUUAUCACAAAAUUGGAGAGGAUUGCGAAGAAAUUGAAGUCCAAAAAUAAGAAAAUUCGGAGGUUGGUUUGUGGGCUGGAAUUUUGGCUUCAAAUUAGUUUAUUUGUGGAAUUAAUAUACAAGAAAGUAAUUUGGGACAUGAGGAAUAAGAUUGGAGACUAGGGGGACCAAGCAUUGAUUAUUUGAGAUAAUCCCUUGACUGUUUGCCCCUCUCUCUCAUCUAGCUUCUCGGGCAUGCCUUGCCAAUCUUCAUCUUCUUCGAAAUUUUCUACCUCAGCUGAAGACUUCAUCCAUUUUGCCUUACUUCUAUUUUGUCUGUUUUUCUUUCAUUCUGUCGAAGGCCCCCCCCCCCCCCCCCCCCACCUGGCUGGGAUUUCCUCUCCUCGAUCUUCCUUGCUCCCCACCAACUCAACGCUAGUGAAGCAGCCUAAUCUAGUAAACUCCAACUCCCUCGAAAGGCCCAAGUAUUGACCUUGCAGCUUCAUUUCCUUCGUUCUGCCCUCUCCACCGCUCGAUCACCACCACCGUUCAACUGCCACGAAGACGAGCGCCCCACAAUUCCUCCACUUUCUCUCUCUCUCACUGCUUUAGCCUUGAUUUCAUUUGCUCCUUUGCCACUCGUCCAACAUCAUGAUCGAAGCAGCUCAUGCUAGCUCGCGUUUCCCCUGCCCCUCUUCGCGUGGCUUCAUUUGGCCGAGUCAACCUAGCAAAUUUUCCCCCCAAUGCUAACUUCAACCCACUGACUUGAAGCCCAUCUCCAUUGAUUUUCAUACUAUCACGUCCACCAUUCAUCACCGCAACUACCACUUGUCUGUCUCCCUGUAGCAGUCAACCCCACCGAAGCCAGCUUCUCCUUUGCCAUUUCUUUCUUCUGCCAAUGAUCAGCCCACGAGCCCAAUAGCUUCUUUAACGCAAGUCCAGCCCGUUCUUUACCGUUCAGCCCAACUCUCCAUAGCCCAGCCCCCCUUUGAAUUAGAAUCAAAGCCAGCCUAGAAUCAAGCCUAGCUUCAGCUCACGUGUUUUUUUCUUCACUCUUUUUGAAGCCCGCAAGUUUAGUUGCUGCAGCCCGUGAACUUUAGCCCACCGAAGUCAGCCUAGCAGCUCGUGCAUCUCACCUCAAGCCCAGGACCAGGUCUAGCAGUUGUUGUGGGCUUGCAAGGCCUUUUUGGCUUGGUCCAAGUGUCCAUUGGCAUUGCCGAAAGUUCAAGUUUUGGCCGCCGUCGCACCACCGUCGCGGUGGACCGGUUUUCACAUUAAACCGGUGACUUUAUGCAGUAAACUCUACUUAGUAGGCUAACGACAUUUAAUGGGUGUUUAGUUUAAGUUAAUUAGGGAUUAUGUGGUUAGUUAGAUUAGAUUAGUGAUUUAACUAGUUAAUUAUGCAUGUUAGGUAGUUAGAAUGACUAAAUUAGCAUCUAGAUAGAUUAUAUUACUUAUCUAGAUUGGUUCAGAAAUUUUUCGAACCUGAAUCGAUAUUUAAUUUGGCUUUUUAGGCCCAAGUGUACAUUUUUAGUAUUUAUUAAUUAAUUUCCGUAAUUAUUUAAUUAAUUAGUUAUUUUCCGGAAAUUAGACCGGGAUAGCCAGUGACCGGAAUUUCGUGCUAAUUGCAAUUGUAUGCACGGUUUAUUUAAUUUAGUGUUUUUUUUUGGUCAAGUUAUUUAAUUUAGUGUUGAUUUAUGCAAAUUAAGUGAAAAUUUUAAUAUUGGGUAUUUAUUCUAAAAAUUGAGUAAUUUCGAUAUUUAAGCAAAAAAUGCCGGGGCGUCAAUUUUUAACACUGAAAAGGUUUUCAAACACUAUAUAAAUAGUGUGAUUUUCUAAAAGAAAAAUAUUGCAUUUUUUGCUUAGGACAACCGUGUACCCACACACGAUUAUUUUUAUUAGGUAUUUUUAACACGAAGAAAAUAGACCAAGACAUUAUUUUAAUUGAGAAAUUUAAGUGCGAAGCACAUUGCCCUUGGUCGUGAGUUAAUAAUUGUGUGGUGGUUUAUAGUUAGGGCGUGUUGAUUAUUGAAAGUUGAGGUGAUAUAUGCCCGGUUGAGGGAACUUGAUGGGUUGUGAGCGGGUAAAGGACUAAGUACUAUACGAGUAUGAGACUUUGUGUGAGUUACCUCUAGUGCUUUAUACCAUUACUUAUUCUAGUCAAGGGUUAAGUGUUACAUGGCGACCUGAGUUGCAUGGGAAUUACCUAUAGAGCCUUGUAGUAUUGUCAUGCAUAGUGAAGGGUUAAGUACCACACGAGGAUGAGACUUCGUGUGAGUCACCUUGUCACGCCCCGAUCCUUGGGUACGGGCACAUCGUUCACCCUCGGUCGAUUGCUAGCAAUAUCCCAGAACGUAUCGCCGACCCUUUUAUUUUAGAUAUGCACAUGCAGAAGCAAUUAUAAAACCCCAAACAAUAAAACAAUGUGAUAGAAUAGUAGGACUCAAAAUACUGAACUUUCAAAAACAACCACACUUAUAUACAUUGCAAACUAUAGUGCAAAUAUUACAAGAUGAAUGGUCAAGCCAGGUUUUAAAUCACAAGUUCAUAAAAUCAAGUCUGCAACAAAUACAAAGAGAUUUGCCCUAUGACUAUCUAGAUCGAUAGGAUCGUCAAUUCUUCAGGUUUCCCCUCCUUCACUUCGGGCCUCUGAUCCUUCAUUAAUGCUGUUUAAGGACCUGAAAAUGAUUAUUCAAUAACCGGUGAGACAACAUCUCAGCGAGUUCUACUUCUUAAGACCCGAUUAGGAAACCAAUAUACCUUAGGGCUGCCUAUGCACGACACGCGUCAGAUGACUUAUCUUGACCCCAGUCUCAACUUGCAAAUUAGUACAGUUCAAUAGACACCCAAACAAUCACAACAGAUCGAAAUAUCGAUCAAAUCGACCUGAUCAAUUACAUAUCAACCGGACAAUCUCUUGGUCAUUCCCAUCCAUACUAUAUAAUAUUCUAAAUAGUAUAUACUAGUCACCGAGCCACGUGCAUUCUCUAAGGCGACCUAUUCACCAAGGCGACGUACUUAGUCACCGAGCCACGUGCAUUCUCUAAGGUGCCAAGUUCGCCAAGGUGACGUACUGAUCAUUGACCACGUGCAUUCUCUAAAGCGCCGUUUUCGCCGAGACGACGUACUAAUCGCUGAGUUAGGUGUCUUUUCCAGGUGAUGUAUAUAAUAAAUAAUUUACGUGGAUCCUUUCAAGCGACCCAUUCACCAAGGUGAUGUACUUAAUUACCGAGCCACAUAUGUCCAUAAGUCACUUGCAUUCUCUUAGGCGACCUAUUCGCUAGGGUGAUGUACUUAAUCACCGAGCCACGUAUGUCCAUAAGUCAUGUGCAUUCUCUUAGGCGACCUAUUCGCCAAGGUGAUGUACUUAAUCAUUGAGUCACAUAUGUCCAUAAUUCUUUCUCAACUUUAGUAUACUCGAUAACAUCGUACCCGAUUGGUCCUAGUAAAGAGUAUAUUUAAUUUAUUCUCACGAUUUUCUCCACUUUAUAGCCCAUCAAAGCAUUACUAGCGCUAUAUACCCAUACACGUCCAUUUACCAAUCAAUUAUCCAAAUUUACUCAAUUUAGGAAUAAUUCCUAAAAUUCCAUGAUCAAUUCAAUUCAACAUAACGUAGGACUCAAAUAAAUAAACGAACUACACCACGACAAUCAGUAUAAAAUUUCGGUCGUCGGCUAUCCCAGCCUUAUUUUCGAAAAAUAAAUAAAUAAAUAAAUAAUUACAAAAAUUAAUUAAUAAAUACUAAUAAAUCCAACUUAAGCUCAUAAUGUCUAAUUGGAGCUCAAUAUGGGUCGGGAAAAAUCCGGAGAGACAUUCAAUUAACACUAGAGCAUUUCUACUCCAUAAUGACUAUGUUUAACCACCUAACAUGCAUUGCAAUUAACUAAUAAUCACUAAUCUACUUUAAUCUAACCACCUAAUCCUACUUAAUUAACACUAAUCAAUUCUUAAGCAUCAUUAGUCUACUAAGCGAUGAUUAGUGCGCUAAACUCACCCGUUUUACAAUCCGCUCGGAUUGAAACGUCGGGAAUGUCACGGGGGAUGUUUAACUCCAAAGCGGGCCUAGGGUUCGGGGCCCGGAACAUCCUCAAAGCGAGCCUAGAAACCUACUGGAAACCCACAAAAUUCUGGUCUGAUUGAGCUGCAUAAACAGAAGCAAACAAGUUAGUUUGGUGUGGGAAGGCUCGGAGAUGGACAACGGGAUGGUUUUGGGUCCAAACCGGCGGCUUGGGAGGCUUCCUCGAUCACUUGCAGUAGCUAAACAGAGGCUUGGAUGGCUGGACAGAGGGUUGAACGACGUGAGGGAGGUAGGCAAAGGGGUGGCGUGCACGGUGGAGCACUCAUGGGUGGCGGCGUGCGAACCGGCGACAGCGAGGCAGCGAUUCGACUUCCGGGUGGCGUGUGGCUUCAGCUUCUUCUCUAGUUUCUGGUUUCGCACAAAAUGGAGGGAGGGAAGGAUGUAUGGCCGGCGAAGAGAGGGUGAGGGAGAGAAGAGAUAGAGAUGAGGGGAGACAAGGGCCAUAUGGCCAAGUUUUUCCAACAAAUUGUCCCCCAAAACUUGUCUAAGAAGCUAACAUCCAAGGGUUGUCAUCCACUAGCCAUUUCCAGCUCAUUUUCCCUUCUAGAAGACCCUUGAAUUGGUCCAAAUGUUGUGGGUUGAGGGGUGUUACGAAUUUGGUAUAAAUCUCUCUCCAUUGGACACCAUUCCUCUUUUGAUUCAAUCUCAUUUGAUCUUUAUAAAUUCAAUUGAUGCAUCAUUGAUCAUCUUAGCAUUUUUUUUCUCACCCAUAUAUUCAUCAUGCUUCUCAAAUUUGUGACCAACAAUAAUCCUCGGUCUUGAUUGAACAAAAACGGUCAUAAACUGAUUUUUUCCCAAAAAGUCUUGAUUGUUAGAAAAUCUUCUGAGACUAAGUCGUGGGUCAUAGAAUUUAUUGUGACAUGACAUAAUCUUCAAUUUCUGAAAUCGGACUCAAGUUGGCGGUUAAUUUCCAAUCAACGCGUUUUUAGCGUGACCUAGGCUACUGGGUAGUUUUCAGAACUUUUUAGGGCAAAUGAUUUAUGGUCGAUUUUCUUCGAGUCACAAUGAAUCCACUUAACACGUUGGCAACUCUCGGUUGUUGUGAAAAUCUAGAGGAUUCAAUUACGGGCACAGGGUACCAAAACAAUAAGAAAAUCUAGUGCCGGUCGACGCGAAUUUUCCAAUUUAGUGGAGUUACCCACAAUCGGCCAUACAUCUUAGUCAAACCGACUUAUCUCUGAUCUCAAAUCAGUUUUAUACUGUGCUGUAACGGCCUUUAAAGAUGAGCACGAUCGAGAAACCGAUUCUUGGUCGAAUUCUCAAGUCUGUUACUUUAAGAUUCCUUGAUAGCUUACCCAGCUAGUCUAGUUAUUUCAAGAGUGAUCAACUCUGAGAACAACCCUAUAGGCGCGUCGAUGAAAUGCCCAACUUAUCCAAUCGAAAUCAGAACCUAAAAAUCAGGAUGUCACACACCUUUAGUGCCUUAUACUAGUGCCUAGUGCAAUAAAGAACUAAGUACCACAUAAUAGCAAGACUUCGCAUGAGUUAGCUAUAGUGCUUUAUAUAAUUGUUAUUUGUGGUCAAGAAUUAAGUACCGCACAAUUACCAUGCUUCGUGUAGGGUCACCUCUACAAUCUUGAGUUUGAUUUUGAGUAGGAAUAAUGAAUUGGAAUGUUGAGAGUAAAUAUCGGGUGUAGAUGGAACUACCAAUAUGAUUUACCCGCGUCUAAUUAUGGGACGAAAUUGUGUGACACAGAAUGAGACGUGUCAUAACGAUUUGGCCUUAUAAUCGGGACUCUUGUGGAUUGUUUGAUUGAAUGAUGGAUUAAUGGUGUUGAUUCAAUUGAUUGACUAAGAUUGAAUGAGACGUUCCAAAUGCUCAGGUGUUGUUACUGCACUUAUGUGACAUAUGAAUUGUGCUAACAUGCAGGAGGAAACUGAGGUGAGAUAAGUCAUCUGUUCUAAUUGUUUGGUUAUGUGGUUAUAACGUUUCUAGACGUAUUACUCUCCUAAUAAGGGCUUAGAGCGUGAACUCAUCGAGAUUUAUAUCUCACAUCAUUGUGGGCUUUAACUUUUUAGGACCGUAAAGUGGAGGAUCUAGAGUCAAGCUGAAGGGAUCUGAGGUGUAGGUCAGAUAAGAUAGCUCCUUUUGAGAACUAGUCUUUUGAAGUCUUAUGUUUAUAGACUUGUACAUGAUUCAUUCGAUUUAUAAAAGCAUGUGUUGUUUGUGAAUAUGUUGUCUUGCUUUUCUAUCCCGAGAUGGUUACUGCCAGGGGAUUUGUUAUUCGCUUCCGCAUGUGCAAGAAAAUAAAAGGGUUGGCAACUCGUCCUGGGAAGUUGCAAAUUUUUAUCGACCACCGAGGAAUGAGCAUGCGCUUGAGGAUCGGGGAGUGACAAGAAGGGCCAUAACCAUGAACAACGAAAUCUGGGAUUGAAUUCUCGAUGCUUUCUUGCUUUUGUCAUCAUCAGAGGAGCCGUGUCUUUUGAAAAAAAAAUGCUUAAGCGAUUAAAAAGGGGCCAACCAUGAGUAACAUAUGAUUUUGAUUAUUUCUAGGAUCAUUGAAGUUGAACAAAAACAUUCUGUAUAACACCUAUAUCACGUGACAUGACGAUGGGAUGGCGCUCAACCAAAUCAAUUAUUUUCGAUUAUUAAAAUGAUCUUCAAAUGUGAAUGCGCAAUGGCAAAAAGGAACAGAAUUGAUAGACAAAUAUGAGGAAGGGUAAGAGAAGGCGAAGUAGUUGAACAUGUUACGCAGCGUCGAGAAAGAGCUCGAAGCCCAUAACCAGAACGCUCGCUCAGUCUUACACCUCGUUCCGGAAAUCUCAUGAACGCGCGAGAAGACCUCUUCUCCCCAUAAAUACCCAGCACGUCCCUUUCCUUCAGACAAGGAUCCAGAAAGCAAGCAAAUUCCCAAGAAACUCCAAACCCGAGCAGAAAUCAAUCCCUCGCGUCCUGCAAAGUCAAGCUUCAUUCUACCGACUUAUUCAGAGACGAAGUCGCUCAUAGUUUAACUUCGGGAUUUGUUGCCAGAGGGAAUCUUUGCUUUACUUCUUGAUUUUGUUCGCUUGUCUUUUGUUUGGCUUCACUUCAGGAAUUAUUAGGUAUUUUCCUAGCCGGCAGUGUAUAUUUUAUCCACUAGUUCACGAGGACCAGCCAGGGAAGAGGAUUGACGUGAUAUUCCCUUCAAUUACUCAUCCAAAUAAAUUAUCUGAAUCAAGAUGCUGUGAACCAGGACAGCUGCCAAGAAGCACAAGUCGCAGAGAGAGAAAGAGAGAGAGAGAGAGAGAGAGAGAGAGAGAGAGAGAGAGAUUCUCUAAAUAUUCAUUAAAUGCCGUGUCAAACUUGACCACAGGGAGAGAGAGCGAGCUUCUUUAAAUAUUCAGCAAAUGCCGGAUCAAACUUGACCACAGCUUACAACAUGCUUCCAUCCCUAGCUUGCGCAAAUUGAACGUUAGGAGUGACUUGCCUGCUUGUCCUUCAUUGCUGGGUCUUCGCGUCCUCUGUCCCAUUACUUCUCAUCUGAUUAGACUUUCAAAGAGAGUAAAACCAGCCUGGAUCAGCAAAAGCCCGUCUUCAAGGGCAUAACUUCGCUAAGCAUCUGAAUUUCUUCGAUUGAAUAAAGGAUAGAGAGGAUGGAAAGUGAAGGGCGAAAUGGCAAGAAAUUGAUCCUGGUCCCAGGACCAUUCCAGGGCCACCUCACUCCCAUGCUUCAGCUGGCGACAAUCCUCAAGUCCAAGGGCUUCUCCAUCACAAUUGCUCAACACACAUUUCAACAGUCCAGAUUCUUCUGCUCACCCCAAUUUCACCUUCUUAUGCAUACCUGACGGCUUGUCUGAAGAAGAGGUUCGAAACCCCGAUCUGAUGGGCAUUGUGCUGAGGCUUAAUGUCAAUUGUGAGUCCAGCUUUAGGGAGUGCCUAACUCGGGGCACAAACCAUAUGGAGCCAGUUGACAAGAUUUGCUGCAUCAUCUACGAUGCAUUCGUGUACUUCUCGGAAGCUGUUGUCCGUGAUUUGAAGAUUCCUAGCAUUGCUUUACACACGAGCAGUGCUGCUACUACCAUAGUCCGCCCGAUUCUUCUCCAGUUAAAGGCACAAGGACACAUUCCGAUCCCAGGUACAUGCUGAAUUUCUCUUAUUUAAGUUACACUCAUUUCUUUCUUAAUUAAUAUUAUGGUCACGGAGAAUCUUGCUCGUAUUCCAUUUUGUUUGUGAGGAUGGAUGUAUCAACGAAAAUUUAUUAUAGUCCAUGAUCCGACGAGUCUCCUCUAUGGCUAUACUUUUUUCAAGACUGGUUUCUUUGUCAUCAUCCAAGUUUGACACCCAAGCCAGAUUAUCCCGAGUGUUGUCAAACCACGAAGUAUAAAGUCGAUGGGUUCUAGCUCACUUGUCGUUGUGCUGACUAACAAAUGCCUUGUGUUGUGCUCUAUUAGAUUCCAUGUUGCAGGCUCUGGUGCCCCUGCAUCGACCCCUGAGGUUCAAAGACCUACCACUCUCCAAUUUUGGAAGUUUGGACUAUUUCUUGGAGUUGGUAGUCUUGGUGAGUAAUAUCAGAUCCUCUUCGGCCAUUAUAUUCAACAUGAUUCACUGUCUGGAAGAGUCACCUCUGGCGCAGCUCCACCAACAGUUCCAAGUUCCGAUUUUUGCAAUAGGCCCUCUGCACAAACUCGCUCCUACCUCAGCUGUUAGCUUACUGCAAGAGGAUACUGGUUGCAUUUCAUGGCUUGACAAGCAAACUCAUAAUUCAGUUAUUUAUGUGAGUUUAGGAAGCAUAGCACAUCUGGACCAAGACCAAUUGUCAGAAAUGGCUUGGGGUCUGGCAAAUAGCAAGCAGCCUUUCUUGUGGGUUAUUAGGCCUGGCUCAAUACCAGGUUCGGAAUGGAUCGAGUCAAUGGAUGAAGAAUUCAAAGAAUGUGUUAAGGACAGGGCUUGCAUUGUGAAAUGGGCACCUCAGAAGAAAGUAUUGGCUCAUGACGCGGUGGGAGGGUUUUGGAGCCACUGUGGAUGGAACUCCACCUUGGAGAGUAUAGGUGAAGGCGUUCCAAUCAUAUGUCAACCAUGCUUCGGCGACCAAAAUGUGAAUGCGAGGUACUUGACUCAUGAAUGGAAGGUUGGAUUAGAACUGGAGGGUGAGAUAGAGAGAGGGACGGUGGAAAGAGCUGUUAGAACAUUGAUGAAGGAAAAGGAAGGUGAAGAGAUGAGGCAGAGGGUCUUGGAUUUGAAGCACAAGGUUGAAGUUAGUAUAGGUGAUGGUGGAUAUUCUUCCCAUUAUCUGAGCGAGCUGGUCGAGUUGCUGACAUCGUUCUAGCAGCACAGAGUUGUUUGUGACUUAAGGACUGCACAGUAUGAAGUUUGUGUACUGCAGAAAGUGCAGAUUUGGUCUUCUGGCGUUGAAACAGGACAGAACAGCUAUGCUUCGGAUGGAACGAUGAAAUCUGUUGGCUUAUCAUAUGCAAAUUUGUGUUAGAGCAAUCUUUGUUUUGUUCCUAACCAGCCGAGCUGAUCUGAAUGGCUCGAAUUCACUACUCCUUUCACUUGUUCAAGAUUAAUUAAGGCUGGUAGUUUAUGUUUGUCUUAUCAUAAUUGUAUCACGUAAAACUUAAUUUAACUCGAAUAUGACACGUUUAUUCAGUAUAAGACAAUUUUGAAUUCUAAACGAGAUACGCUUAUUAAAUGCAUUGUACAGCAUGAUACAUGUGCUACUUUUUAAGCUGUGGACCAUUAGAACAAACGCGUCAAAUAUGUUUGGACAUUAUCUAAAUGUGUCUAAGUAUAUAUAUUCAUACGAGAACAAAGACCGACUGAAGUUUUUACCGUUUCGGACAAUUUGUAAAAAUAUUUUAAUUUUUUCCGUUUUUUCUAUUCUUUUCUUCUUUUUUUCCCUUCUCCUUUUUUUUUUCCAACCGUGGCCAAUGAGGGUGGCUGGGCCCUUGCUAACCGCGGGUGAGGCAGUCUUCCCCAUAUUUGAGCGAGGCUGCUUCACCUGCGACCAUCGUCCGAAAGGCCGUUGCGGUCUUUGGUGAGGCUGCCUUUGCCCUCGGGCGCGAUGGGCUCACCUAGAUCUAGGGGAGGGGCAUGCGACCCUCGCCGGUGGCCACCAGGUGGCUGUCGUCUUGAUGAAGUUUCCUCCGCUCCAAGUAAAGAAUGAUUGGGGUCGUUCCUAGGAUCCAGACUUUCCUCUGGCUCAUUAAUCAUAAUAACCUCCUUACAGAGUAUGCUUUUGUUUAACAGGGCAUCACGCAAAAUGCGAAUUGCAGAUGUUUGUGGUUUUCGUAAAGAGGAUGGCCUCCAUGAUCUUCGCGACUUUUUCCUCCACUCAGGACGUCUGGAAAAGUGUCGGUAUUCCUAAUUCAUGUAUGAAGAGCUUCACAGAGCCUCUUCGCACACGGAUCAAGUUUUAUUGUGGUGCAGAAGAAGAUUUCUAGCAUCGUCGAACUUUAUCUCCCCUGGAACUUUUUGCAUAUAAAUUAAAAAUAUACAGAUGGCUCGGAUUUGGAAAACCUGGAUUAGACGGGUGCAGGAGGCAUUUUGCGUAGCCUGUCAAUUUUCACAAAUUAUUGGCUCCACCUCGUCUGUCCUUGCCGAGUUGUCGGCUCUCACUGAUAUGGAUUACAACUUGCUGUGGAUCGUGGAACUCGAAGAUUGAUUGUUGAACUCGACCCCGUGGCUUCACUCCAUUUAAAGGAUAAGAAUUCAUUCAAUGAAGAAAAAGGAAGGUGAAGAGAUGAGGCAGAGGGUCUUGGAUUUGAAGCACAAGUGCGAUGUUAGUAUAGUUGAUGGUGGAUCUUCUUGCCAUUAUCUGAGCGAGCUAGUCGAGUUGUUGAGAUCGUUCUAGCAGCACAGAGUUGUUUGCUACUAAAGCACCGCGCGGAAUGAAGCUUGUGUAGUGCAGAAAGUGCAAAGAUUUGGUCUUCAGGCAUUGAAGAACAGAACAGAACAGAACAGUGAUGUUUUGAUGGCUAACAGAGAUUGGCUGACUUGUCAUAUGCAAAUUUAAGUUGAACCAAAUUUUUACUUCUCCUUUCAAGUUUGAGUAAACUUAACAUGGUUAUUCAUUAUGUCACAAUUUUGAAACCUAAAUACGACAAGCUUAUAAUAUGACAGGACACAUUUGACCUAUUUAAGAUAUAGACCACUAGAACAAACAUGUCAAAUACGUAUAGACAUGUAAAAAAGUGUUCAAAUGUGCAUAAAUUUUCUUUAGUGCAUUGUGUCGUUGCGACUAACUUGUCAACUGGGUCGUCAAACUUGUCUAAACAUUUCAUAGAAAGGAUCAUUCCAUUACAAUUCCUAUCGAGUCCACUGUUUGAGAAUACCCUCAUGGUGGUUUAGUCAGUUAAGAAAUAAAUAAAUAAAAAAAUCAAUUGCUAGAGGAAGAUAGAAGGAAGGACCCGGUAAUCUUAGACUUUAUUUAAAUUGAUCCCACACCUAGCCUCAAGGUAGAUAAGAGACCAGGCAAAAAAGGCAAAUAUAAUAGCAGUCGUGCGCAAGCAAGUUGUUUCUUUUAUGACACGAAUCUCUAUAAACUUGACAUGAGAACAUUCAAUGACAUGUCGAGUAAAUGGGCUGUGUCGAUAUCUUCUCAACAUCAUUCGAGAUUGAUCAACAUGCUCUACUAUUGUGUGCGAUGAAUGUUCUUCCAGCCUAGUAAAAAUAUCCCAUAUUAACAACCUUAAUCUCUUGUCUGUGAAAGCUAGUACAAACAUCUAGAGGGGGUGAAUAGGUGCAAAAACAAAUUUCCCUGAGAGAAGUGUGCAACUCUAAUCAACAAUAGAUUAUGAAAAGGAAAUUAGACUCUUGUAAACAAAUUGAGUUACGAUCAAAGUAAAAGAGUGUAGGGAAGAGAAUAAGAACACAUGGUUUAUAGUGGUUUAGCUUAAUCCAAGCCUACAUCCACUCUUCCGCACUGACAGCCCACUGGCUGGAUUUUACUAUGAAUUAAAAGAAUUGUUACAGUAAAGCUCUUCAUUGAUUCCACAUUGUAGAAACUCUACUACACUUCCUCAAUGUCUCACAAAGAUAUAAACUCUCUUUUGAGUACAAGAUUUCGUUCAACAAUUGAAUUGACUAAGAACAAGGAGCUUCAGACUUUGGAAUUCUUCUAUCGCGCACACACUCGAACAACUGGAACGUCUUCCUUAUAUACUCCUUCAUGCCAUCACACCCGUUGGCACUUACCAAAUGAGUUCUUCCAAUUUACCUGUUGGACAUAAUUAAUUAUUGAGAUUUCGAGUUAUUUAAGGAAUAUGACGAUAGCUCCAAUCCUGCUUGCCCAUACAAUCAGGAUUUAGGUUUUCAUAAGUAGAACAUUCCAAGUAUAUUUUGCCAAUCAACGGAUCCAAAAUCCCUAAAUCAAUCUCAAUUUGAAUAAUGGAUUCUGACAUGCUAUAUCCAUCCAAGAGAUCUUCUUCAGUCGAUAGAAUCAAAUCCUCAACGAAAUACCCAGUUCUGGAUAAGCCUUCUUCGACGGUCUAAAAACUGUUAAUGAGGAUAGACUUUGAGUCUUGAGUCUGGCAGUCCGGAGGUCUUCAGACUUUGAUGAAAGAGUCUGCAAGUCUUCAGACUAGAUUGAUAGAAACAUUUUGUCAACUUCAAAACACUCAAGGAAGUUUUCUCCAACAUUGUCGAUUGGCACCUCUUUUUUAUCUGUUGCACUUUAAUUCAAUGUGAAAAAUGGAGAGUGCAUCGUGCUCGAGAGGGACCAUAAAUUUACUUCUCUUUUCUUUAAAUUUAUGAAAAGAAUAGCUUGGGAACGAGGAUAGAUCGAUGGUUUUCCCGUUUUGACAAGUUGGUGCCAAUGAUCGGAUUCUUACUAUCUUGAUUUUACUGUAUGUAAUUUUUCUGUGAGACAAUUUUGAUGGUUGUUUGUUUGUGAAACAAACAAAAUAAUUUUUUUUCCUUAUCUUACAUAGGAAAGUUGGAAGGAUGUGGGCCACUGUAUAAAUAUGAGUGUCUUCUAACUUAUUCUAAUGAAGACAAUGGCUUGUGGGCUAGAUCCCAUAAUACCCAACGAUGGCCCAUGUGUCCAAUGACACAAGCGGUGCCAUAUGCAUAGGGUAUCUGAAGGCCUUUAAUCAACAUUACCAAACCAUCUUGGACGGCCAUCUCUCAUCUCAGAAUGCCUUCUAGAAGUUAUCCUACGGUGGUGAAUUUAUUGUUGAGAUCUAGCGCCCGCGCUGCUUUAUGUUUGCAAGCCAUAUACUAGGCAAAAUUUAUAGACUAUAUGAGUUUAGCUUCUGUUGCAUAGUCUGUCAGAGUUUGAGGAAUAGGCCAAAAGGUGAGAACAACUUAUAAUUUCUAUAUAUUCAGUCUUAUGUUUUACAUUGUACAAGCUCCUAUUUAUAAUACAAUGAAUGUCUAGCUAUGGAAAGAAUAAAUGAAAAUACAUUAAAUCAAAUCCAAUCUUGGAUUGAUAUAAUCUAUCGGUUAUAAUUGCCCGCAAUCUUGGAUUUUUAUUUGAAAGUGUCACGUCUCGAUCCUCCGGGCUCAUGCCCAUCCCUGCUUGGUCGAUAUAAUAGCGAUGUCUCAGGACGCAUUGUCGACCCAUUUAUUUUAAUAUACGCAUGCAGAAGCAGAUAUAAAACCCCAGACAAUAAAACAAUAGGAUAAGAAAGUAGGGCAAACUUUUUCAAACUAAAACAAGCAUUUUUAUAAACGAACGAGUUUAUAUACAAUGCUAGGCUGUUUACAAAUAUAUCGGCUUAACAAAAGGGAAUUGUCCUAUGACUCUCUGAUCAGACAUGUUCGCCGAUUCUUCGGUCUCCACCUUCCCAGAUUUCGGGGCUUCCAGUCCUCCUCUCACUUCCUCUAAGGACUUGAAAAUGGUUAUAUAAUAAUCAGUGAGACAAUGUCUCAGCAAGUUCAAUCCCCUAAGACAUGAUUAGGAAGAAAAUUACGCCCUAAGGGCUGCCUAAGCACACACAGGUGUCAGAGGACUUACCUUGGCCUCAAUUCCUCCCUGUAAGUCAGUUCGAAUAAUAAAUACUGAUAAUUAUAUCACUCAAUCAAAUCGGAUCGAAUAAUCAAUCAAUCAAUCGACCCAGUCGAUUACAUGUCAUUAGGACCAUCUCUUGGUUGGCCCAUUCAAUACUAUCUAUGAAUCUAAUCAAAUCCAGGACUCCUCAUUGUAACUGAAAUAUAGUAGUAUAUUAUCCUAUCUCCAUAUGACAUAUAGAGCCAUCGAGCGGAUAUGCAUAACGUUCUAUCUCCAAGAUGACAUAUAUAGUCAUUGAGUCAUCAUAACAUACUUGUGCAUAACGUUCUAUCUCUAAGACGACAUAUGGAGUCAUCAAGCCGUUAUAACACACCGUUCUUUCUCACGAUGACAUAUAAAGUCAUCGAACUAUUAUAUCAUAUCGUCAUUUCUCCAAGAUGACAUAUAGAGUCACCGAGCCGGUACACAAUUCCUUCUCAAGAUGACAGGAGAGUCAUCGAGCUAUAAUAGUAUAACGUCCAUUCUCCAAGAUGACAUACGAAUCAUCGAGCCGUUAUAGUAUAUUGUUCCGAAGAUACAAUCAAUUUACUCUUUUUAUCAUACUCGAUAAAAAUACACGUGUAUGGGUACACGACCGGCCUUAACCAAAAUACAAGGUUUUCUUCUGAACCUCCCACUAUUUUUCGUAGUCCCAAAAUAAAUUUUUGGCACUGUAGACCGAUAUCUGGUAAUUUUCCACUUAAUUACCACAAUUAUCCAAUUUUUUGAAAGUAAUACCCACAAACACUAAUCACAAUCAAUUUGCAUAAUUAGCUACUCAAUUAGAUAAACAGAGAGCACCACUACGAUCAUCACGAAAUUCCGGUAACCGACUAUCCCGGGUUAAUUUCCAAAAAAAAAAAAAAUAAUAAAUAAAUAAUUAUGGAAAAUAUUAAAUAAAUACAAUAAAUGCAUACUUAGGCCCGCAAUGCCUAAUUAUAUGCCAGAAUGGGCUCGGAAAAUUUUCGAGACUCGUUAAAUAAAUACUAGAGUCUAUUUACUCGCUAAUUGCACUAACUAACCACCUAAUAUGCAAUGGUAAUUAAUUAAAUUCAUUAAUCUAAUCUAAUCUAAUCUAAUCUAACCACAUAAUCCAUCUUAGCCUAAACUAAUUAACCCAUAAGUACAAUUAACCUACUAAGCAAGAAUUAGUGAGUUAAACUCACUUGAUUCGCGAGCCGAUCGGUUCAAAUCGAUGGGGACGCAAUAGGGCUCGAUUUUCUCCAAAGUGGGCAUAGCUUUCGGGACUCGGAACACCUCCAAAAUGGGCCAACACAGUGUUGGAAACCCAUUGGUUUUGCUUUCUGUUUUGGGCUGCAAAAGAGAGAAAUAGAGGUGGAAAGGGGCAGUAAGGACCGGCAAAGGCAGCAAGGGUCGGUCGCGGGUCAGGGCGGACCUCAGCGGCCUCCGGCGACAGCUCACGGUGGCCCAGGCAUCCACAGUAGCCUGCUGGAGGCAUAGAUGGGGGCAGAGAUGUGGCUGCAGCGGCGAGCAUGCACGGGCGAGUGCGAGGUAGCGACGGUGCGCGAACAGCGAACGGUGGUGUGCAAGCGGGUCGGGGCUUCGAACAGCUCCUCCACUGGCUUCUACUGGUCUUCUUCAGCUGUUGGACACCGAAUAGCAAUGAGAGAGAGGGAGGAAGGAGUGUCGGCAUCUUUGAGGGAGAGAAAUGGGGCAAGAGGGGGCCUACCAAGCCUUAUUUUCUCUCUACAUGUUCCCUUGACUCAAUCACAGCGAAGGCUGGCUUCCUUGGCCUCUAUUCAGCCACCAAGGCACACUUGACAACCUUAGAGAUGGUCCAAAAUGGCUAGGCAAGGGGGAGCUACGAAUUUCCUUUAGUUCCUCUUCAAUUGGUCUUCUUUUCCUUCUUAAAUCAAGACAAUUUGGCCUCAAUAAAUUCAAUCAACACCUCAAUGAUCAAAUUGGUAUUUUUCCUCACCAAUUGAUCCCACUUGCUUUCCAAUUUUGCAAUAAAAAAAGAUCACCGAUAUUUUCUGAACAAAAACGGCCCUAGGAUGACUUUUUCCCAAAAAGUCUCGGUUUGCAGAAAAUUCUUUUGAGACUGAGUCGAUGUUCUUAGAAUUAAUUGUGACAUGAUAGAACUUUCAAUUUCUGAAAUCAGAUUCAAAUCCGCAGUUAAUUUCAAUCUGGCAUUUUUUAGCGUGACUUAAGCUAUCGAGUAACUUUUAGAAAUUUUUAGUGCAAAUGACCCGUUGUCGAUUUUCUUUGAGCCACAAUGAAUCUCUUUGACACAUUGGCGACCCUCAUUGUCGUGAAAAUUUUAAGAUUUCAAAUACGGACACAAGGUACCAAAACGAUAGAAAAAAUCAAACUAGUGUCGAUCAAUGAUAAUUUUGCAAUUUAGUGGGAUCACUCAUAUUUAACCACUCAUCUCAGUCGAACUGACCUAUCUCUGAUCUCUAAUCGAUUUACAUUUGUGCUGUAAUGAUCUUGGCAGAUGAACAUAGUCGAGCAACCGAUUAUUGGUCGAAUCCUUAAGUCUAUUUGCCUUAAAAUCCCUAAUAGCUUUCAUAGGUAGUCUAGUUAUCUCACGAGUGAUCAACUCUGAGAAUAGCAUUAUAGGCGCGUCGAUAAAAUGCCCGAUUAUUUAAUUGAAAGCAGAAUUGAAAAUCUAGGAUGUCACAGAAAGUGCUAGUACAAACACUUAGAGGGGGUAAAUAUGUGUUUAAAAUAAACCUUGUUAAAUAAUUGCAGAAUAAAAUAAGUUAUGAGCAAAGUUUGAAUAAGAACCGGAGUCUGAUAAACGAGCCACCAGACUUUUGGUAGACGUUCAAAAUCUGUUAUGUGAUGGAACAAACUUUUGAAAUAACCUGUAAGUAUGCAACAAACUUAAAUAAAAAGAGUUAAGGAAAGAGAAUGUUGCACACGAAAUUUAUAGUGGUUCGGCUUAGAUCAAGUCUACGUCUACUCUUCCACGCUAACAGCCUUCUGGCUGGAUUCCAUUAUGCGAUCAACAAGAGAUUACAAUUUUGAGUGCAAACAUUUAGUGAUAGAUCACACUAUCAUAUUAAAUCACUCUUUUGGUAUUUCUCUCACGAUUACAAACGUUUAAGCUCACAAGAGACAAGUGUAUAAUCGAAGUUCGUUUAAACUUUGGAAUUAUAAAUUCUAUGCUCCGUCUCUCACUUACUCAUUGGUCCUUGAUCUUCUUAUAUACUCCUCCACUUCUAAACUAGCCAUUGGAUAGUAUUUAGAGAAUCGUCUUCCAAUCUACUCAUUAGACAGAUCUAUAUCAAGAAGAUUUAAUAGCUGUUGAGUGACAGAAGUAGAAUCCAAAAUUGAUUUUAAUCGCUCAUACAAAUAGAAUAUUGGUUUCCAUAAGUAGAGUUUCUUCGUAUAGAAAGUUCUUGUUUUCAAGAUCCAAUUGUCAAUCAAUUAGAUUGAGUCAAUCAAAUCUAUCUUGAUGUAGAAUCCAAACCAGAUCACUAGUCGUUAUAUAUUUGGGGCUUGUAUUACGUUUUGUCAAGUUGUUUCAUUUUGAACAUGCUUCAUUUUGAAUCUGCUAUGUUCUGAACUUGAGUCUCGUUUUGGACCUUGUCAUGUUUUGGACUUAUGUCUCAUUCUGGAUGAUGUAGACUUUACAAUCUAGAUGUAAGUUUGAAUAUAUUCUGCUUUUGAACAUAUUUAGCCUUAAGGUUUGAACACGGUCUGAAUAAGUUCAACUUCAACAUAGAGUCUAUUUUCUAGUUCUUCCAAGUAUAGAUUUCAACAAUAUCCUUUACAUAUUCCAAGCCCUGGACAUCUCUUUAAAUAUUUUACAACCGUCAAGGCUGCAUUCAUAUGAGACUCCUUCAGAUUAUGCAUAAAUUGACUGAGUAAUUGCACUGCAUAACAUAUAUCUAGCCUGGUCAUGGUGAGAUAUAUAAGCUUCCCUACAAGCCUUUGAUAACGAGAUGGGUCUUUGAGUAAUGGGUUAUCAGUCUCAGAGGAUGAUUUAGCAUCAUAAUCAAUGGUAGUUAACUUGAUGUUUUGAUUAAUAGGAAUGGCAGUCGAUUAACAUCUUGAUAAGCCUAUUUCAGAUAUGAUUUCUAAAACAAAUUUCCGUUGGCUUAGAGAGAUUCCCAAGUCUGAGUGGGCAAUCUCAAUAUUGAGGAAAUACUUGGGAGGUCCCAAGUCCUUAAUGCAAAAAGUAUAAUGUAGGUAUUCUUUGAGACUCUUGAUAGCCAAUCCAUUGUUUCCCAUAAUAAGUAUAUUAUUAAUGUAUAUAAUCAGGUAGAUUGAUGACGAUCCAAGUGAAGAGAGCAUUGUUGUGCUUGGAUUGCUUGAAACCAAUGGUUGUAAGAGCUGUAAUGAACUUUGCAUACCAUUGUUGAGAAGCUUGCUUGAGCCCAUAAAAGGACUUAUGGAGCAACAAACUCUAGGCUCUCCCUAUCGUGGUAAUCUUGAUGGAAGGUCCAUAUAUAUUUUCUUAUCAAGAUCACCAUGAAGGAAGGCAUUGGGAACAUCCAUUUGAUGUAAGUCCCAAUCUCAGAAAGCAGCAACAAAAAGAAAGGAGCGAACGGUAACGUCCUCUGUGACUGGAGAGAAUGUCUCAUGAUAAUCAAAACCUCACAUUGUGUAAAGCCUUUGGCCAUUGAGUGGGCCUUAUACCAUUCAACAGAUCCAUUGGCCUUGUAUUUGAUCUAAUAUACCAAUUUGCAGCCAUUGGGUUUUCGAUGAGCACUUGAUGGGACUACAUUCCAUGUAUGACUUUUUUUUAUUAAGGCAUGCAACUCUGCUUCCAUGGCCUUUUGCCACUGUGGAUCACAAAUUGUUUCAUCAUAGGAUGAUGGCUCUAUCUCCUCGGAAAUACGACUAAUGUUGUACAUAUGGUCCAUAGACAAGCAAUCGAACAAAACAUAAGAGGAAAUAGGAUAUGAGGUACCUCUUGAGUUGAGCGGUGCAUAGAUAUAGUCCUUCGUCCACAUAUGAGGGUGAGUGAUCCGUCCUGAACGUCAUGGGGGAAUAUGAUCAGGUGUAGGAGAUGAUAAUUUUGAAGUGGAUUGUAAAGAUAAUUGGUUUGAAUCAGAACUUGCUUCGAUGUGCAUUGUUGAUUUUGCAACUGAAUGAUCUGGAGUAGAUGGGGAAUUCGCAGCGGUCUUGACCACUAGAGAAGAAGUCGGAGCAUCUAGAGGCGGGACAUGUACAUAGUGGGAAAUAGGAGAUGAAUCUUCUUCGAAUAGAAAAUGCCCAUUUUGAUGAUUCGAGCUAGAAGACUCAUUUGAAGAUGCUUCAUCCUGAAAAGGAAAAAUGUCUUCAUGGAAAAUGACAUCCCUGCUAAUAAAGAAGUUCCCUGUCGAUGGCUCAAAAACACGAUAUCCUUUCUAAAGAGUUGGAUUAUCCCAUGAAGAUGCAUCGUUUGGCUCGAGCACCCAUCUUGUCACAAGGACCCAUCUUGUCAUGAGGACUCAGGGUAGUAACAUAGUAUAGGUAGCCAAAAACCUUUAAGUGAUUAACCUCUGGCUUCAAAAGGAGUAUGUUCGUCGAGAACCUGAGUCGGCAUGCAAUUGAUCAAGUAAGUUGUUGUGAACACACAAUUUCCCUAGAAAGUCUCAAGAAUGGACGCUUGGAAUUUGAUGGCACGUGCAAGUUCCAAAAGAUAACGAUGCUUAUGCUCAACAAUCCCAUUUUGUUGAGGGAUGUAAGUGCACGUGUUUUCAUGCAUAAUUCCAUGAAAGGAAAAAAGUAAUUGACAGUCAUGACUAAAAAAUUCUUUUCCAUUAUCUGUUUGAAUAUGUUGAACAUAUUUCUCAAAUUGAUUUUUUGACAUGGUUAAAGGAUUCUUUAGAUGGAAGAGAGCUUGAUUCUUUGACUACAUAAGGAAAACCCAUGUUGCACGAGAAUGAUCACCUACAAUGGUGAGGAAGAAUUGAUACCAUCUCGAUGUGGGGUGUGAUAGGGAUCCCAAACGUCCUUAUGGGAAAAUGGGCGAGCGAUUCUUUAGCAAGAGGGUAAAUUUUGCAUUGAGGAUGUGGAAAGGAAACACUAUGGCCCAAAUGUUGAUGGGAAAUGAUAACUUUAUCAUUGGAAUAAUAUUACACAAUGAUCUUUUAUUCAUGGAAAAUUGUGAUAAAUCAAAAUUUUUGGGAAAACUAGUCCAAAAAGACAAUCCUUGCAAAAUACUACUAAAGCUCAUUAGUUUCCCAGUCGAAAGAGCUUGAAAGAGACGAGUAUUAGAAUUAAAGAGAAUACAACAAGAAUUAUUCUCACAAGCCUUUGAUAUUGAGAUACGGUUGAACUAAAACUAAGAAACAUAAAUGACAUUUCGAAGGAUAAUCAAAGGAAUUUACCAUCCCUAUCUUUGUGACAUACAUGGGAUUUCCAUUUGGAAGCUUCAUAGGGAAAUGAUUUUUAUGAGUAUGGGAGAAAAGGCUUUCAUCAUAGAUAAUAUGGUCACUAGCAUUUGAAUCAAUAAUCCAUGCAUCAUAAGAAUUAGAGUUGAGGCAACAUGAAGCUUGCCCCUUUAUCAAAAGUUUCCAGUUGUCUCAGUGCCCUCAUGAUUUGUUGAUAUUGAUUUUGUGCAAUCAAUUGAUUGUGCCCAGUGACUUGAUUAGCUGAUGAUUCAUUAUUUCCUUUCUUCCUAGGUUUGCCAUGCAAUUUCAAUAAAGUUUCCACCAUGUGAUGUGGCCACUUGCAAUAAUCACAGUAUAAUGUCCCUUUUCCUUUAUUAUUUCCUUUUAAGGAUGAUGUGGUAUUGCGAGGGUCGUGCGAUGCUUUAAAAAUAGGUGCCAUUGUGGCUUGUUGAGAGCUGAUGGCUUCAGCCAAAUAAAAGCCUUUGGAUAUUUGGAGCCUAUCAUAGACGUUCAUCCCAAAAAGAUUAGGGCUUCUUUCUCCUCCUUUGCUUGUAGCAACAGCUCGACUGCCACCUUCUCCGUGAAGACCGAGAGAUUUAUUGGCCGAUCCAAGGACAGAUGGAAGGCUGCAGGUUGAUGGUUGCCCGGAUCUGUAACUAGUGAGCCCUGGCGAGACAACCUCAGUUGAAGAUAGUUCAGAUUUGAAUGCAGCAAGGGCUAUCCCUUUUCCGGUUCGUGCAUGCUUAGCUACGGUUGCCUUUUGGCUCUCCUCUUGGACCGCUAAUUGGUAGAUUCGCUUGAGCGGUAGUGCCGGCUCCAUCGCAAGGGUUUAGGGCCUGAAUGUGAGUAGCUUUCAUUCAAUAUUAGUAGAAAAUGCAUUGCUUUCUCCCUUUCUAGCAUCGCUCGAUAUUGUCGAAGCGUUUCCUUUGGCCCCUCAAGCUACUCUUCAACGGCCUGGAGUUUGUUCCACAAGGCCGAGAGUCGGUUGAUGCAUGUUGUCACGGAUUGAUUUCCUUGUUUUAGCUCCGAGAUGGCUUGGGUGCGGGAGAAGAUUUUGUCCCAGCCGAGCUUUCCGUACAUCUCACAGAUGUUAUCCCAAAUUGCCUUCGAGUCUUCGAUUGGUGGAAGCUCGACGGCCACCUUGGGAGCCAAGCAAUUACUGAUCCAUGUCCACACGAGCUGGUUACAUCUUUGCCAGUGCUGCUGUGAGCGUCCGUCUAUCAAAAAAGGCACGGUUUCGUUGAGGAACCCAUAUUUAUCUUUGGUGACCAAUGCCCGUCGGAGAUCUGGAGCUGAGGUACUAUAGUUUUCGGGUCCACUAAGUUGUAAGAAGAUGAGUUUUUGUUCAAGGCCGUCCCUCGGCAACGUAUAGAGUGGAUUGCUUGGCUUCGAUCAACCAUCGUUGGCUAGGAUGACAUAUGGCAGGAAUUCAUGUCCUGAGAUUGGGUAGGGAUUUACUCCCUGACCUUGUGAUGUGGGCUUGGGUCCUAAGCCCGUCUGACAUCCUAGAACGUCAUCGAUAUGUGUAUUUUAUAUUACUAAUCUCUUUUAGCAUGUGGAAGCGAAAACAAAUAUUUAUGAAUAUUCUUUUAAUGAUUAAAGCCUUACAAUUAUAACCAACAUACUUAUAUAUAUAUAUAUAUAUUGUGACACCCUGAACCCUUCGUAGGUUGCCACCAGCGUCAAUGUUACACCUUAUUACCUUUCUCCUUUGAAGAAGCGUCGUAAUUCAUCGACACUUUUUUUUUUUUAUAAACAAAACGGUCCCAGCGCGACUCACUAGCGGAAGCAAAUUUAAACAUCACCAUCUCUCCCCCUACCAACCAUGAUACAAAUACACACCACUAAUCACCAUAAUUUUAUAGACAAGCCACGACACUUUAUUUACAUAUAUCUUCAAGAUGUGACUUCUUUUGGGUCGGUACAUCAAAAAGGAAAAGCUAGGACUCAGCUAAAACCUCAAAAAGAACCCUCGACCCUCUACAUCACAUGUGCACAACCCCCAUCAUAAGUGUCGGCUAACUAUCCAAAAAGAAACAGCCCCUACUUGUCACGCACAGGCCUCACACCCAGUCCGGUGUGUCAGGCGGCGGCGGUGGCAGCAUCCCUCUCAUCACCCCAUCGCGGCGAACGUGGACGGAGACAAACUCCUGGACAAUCGGGCCCCCAGCCAGGCCUAUGUCGUACGAGACAAAACAGCGCACACGUAUAUAGGUGAGUCCAGGUACAGAAGGACAACUGAACUCCUCACACUCUACCUCAACGUCGGACGGUAACCCAUAAAAUGCACCACACGUGACGGCAGGAAGCGGCAUACUGCUAAUCUGAAAUGUUGGUCCCCAAAGGGGUGAGUACAACCACUCAACAGAUAAGGAAUUUAAUAACAACUCAUCAUCAUUAUCAUCAUCAUGCAUAUCAUGCCAUGGGUGAUCAUCAUUAUUUCACAUCACAUAUCAUCAUCAUCAUCAUCCUGUCAUCAUUAUAUCAUACAUUUCAUCAUCAUCAUGGCAUCACCACAUCACGCAUGUCAUUAUUGUCAUGGCAUCAUUAUAUCAUACAUGUCAUCAUCAUCAUGACAUCAUCACAUUACACAUGACAUCGUGCCAUAUCAUAUAUCAUCAUCAUUAUCAUCAUCAUGCAUAUCAUGCCAUGGGUGAUCAUCAUUAUUUCACAUCACAUAUCAUCAUCAUCAUCCUCAUCAUCAUGCAUCUCAUCAUGCAUAUCAUGCCAUGGUUUAAUUUCCACUUUUAGCUUUCAAUUUGAUCACCACAUCACCCAUUCCUCGAAUCAUCAAUUUCAUCAUCCCCUCGAGCAAAGACAUCAUCAUGCAUAUCAUCAUGUAUAUCAUAUAUCAUCAUCAUGCAUAUCAUCAUGCAUAUCAUGCCAUGGGUGAUCAUCAUUAUUUCACAUCACAUAUCAUCAUCAUCAUCCUCAUCAUCAUGCAUCUCAUCAUGCAUAUCAUGCCAUGGUUUAAUUUCCACUUUUCUUGGCAUCGCGAGGCAUUCCCUUCGGGCAGAAACCUCCGACAGGGCUUCCGGCACCCCCACGUUCCGGGCAUCCUGAAUCUCCCAAGGCCAUCCGGCAAUGCAUCUCUAUACAUUCCGGGCAUUAUCCUCCACCACAACCACCUCCUCACUUAUCAUUAUCCACAUUUACCAUUAUUUUGAUCUCAAUUUAACAUGGCAUAUGGCGUGACAUCAAACAAGUCAUACUUGGCAUAAGAUUCACACAUGCAUCACAAUUCAAUGUCAUACAUACACCAAUAUCUUAUCAUACAUGCUACAUGGUGUAAUCAUUUAUGAAAUUUAUGGCCAAUAAAAUAAUCCAUUUUAUUUUAUUAUUUUAUUUAAAUAAAUAUUAAAUUCCAUAUCUAUAAAUUCCCAAAAUUAUAAAAAUUCAAGAAAUCAUUAAACAAACCAAUAGGAUGACAAUUUCAUGCAAAAUUCAUGGCCAAAUUGAAUUUUACACAAUCUCACCAUUUUCACAAAACAUCCUAUGAUUCUCGGAUGAAACCAGAACGCAUGGUUUUCGAAGAAAUUCAAUUAAAAUAUCCAUAUGGCCUCCAAAAAUUAUGAAAUUUUACUGAGUUAUAGCCAAGACAUUUUCGUACAACUUUCAUGAGAACUCCAAGCCAGAUUCCUUUUAGAUUAUUUUAUACAGUCUCACGAAGCUUCUGGAUCCAUUACCGCAUCGUCCAGUGCAAGCUUCUCCGAAAUAUUGAGAUUUCACCUACCUAUUCUCUUUAGUUUUCUCUGAAAUGUGGAUAUGUUAUAUAUCAAGAUGUCCUUUACAAGUUUCAUGAAGAGAUAUAGGUCAAAUAACCAUAAUAUAGUCAUCAUUUAGGUCCUUGAAGUCUCGGGUAUCUCGGAAUACAUCACCAGAAUCAUCGUCUUCAAGAUCUAGUUGAUUUACUAGGAUAUUCUUGUUAAUUUCACUUAAAAUUUGAGUAUGUUAUAGUUUAAGAUAUUACAACUUUCAUGAAGAAAUCGAAGUGAUAUUCUCAACACAAACCAACAUGCAAUCACAAAUCCAGCAAGAGGUCAGUAAAAACUCUCCAGAUCUGAGGUCUCCGUAGGAUGAGACUUUAACCCCUCAAAUAUCCAUAAUUUUCCACUAAAUUUCAGUAUGUUGUAUUUCAAGAUGUUAGCUACAACUCUCAUGAAGAAAUUGAAGCCAAAAUCGGACUCUAAACACACAUGCAAGCUCAAACAACUUUCUGACUUACGUGAUCCAAGCAAGAACAGUCACCCCAUCCACACACAACUCAUCCAUGCUUCGGUAUUUCUCAUCUAACACCCAAGAAUUCAACAUGCAAACAACAUACAAGCAUGCAUGAGAAGCUAUAGGACUCCCACUUGCCUCUAGACCGGUCGGUCGACGGCGUAAGGCGGCGAACAUGGCGGCACACGGCGGACGGACGGCGGUUCCUCCUCCUCUCUCUCGGCCGCUUCCCCCUCUCUCUCUCGAAAUCUCUCUCUCUCUCUCUCUCUCUCUCUCUCUCUCUUUGGGCGAGCAAAUGACCGGCCACCCUUCUCUCUCUUCCCCUUUUUAUACCUUCAAAUCCUCAUGAUUAAUAAUGAUUGCUUUGCCUUAACCAUGGCCAAUGCAUGGCCUUUUUUGUGCCACUUGUUACAACACUUGCAUGCAUCAUGGGCCUUGGAGUUGGGCCAUCCAGCCACUCUUGGGCCUCCCCUUGGGCUGGUCGACAGCCCCCUUCCAUGGGCUUCUAUUGGGCCGACUAGCUUGGCCCAUCAAGGCUUCGGCCAAUGGGCCUAAGGCCCAUCCCAAAAAUUAACUUUCCCCCCCCCCCCUUUUUUUGAAUUUCUUCUAUAAAUAUUUUUUUUUAAAUUUCAAUUUUCAUCUUGGCCAAAGUCUUGGGGCAUCUUGUUUAUUGAAAUUUAAUUUAUAAAGUACAUGGCCAAGCAUAAAUUAUUAAUUUAUCAAAUUUAAAUUUUCACAAUCAUAUGCACAAAUCAUCUAAUUAAAAGACUAAUGGCUAAAGCAUAAGCCAUGGAAAUUUUUAUCACCUAAUUAGAGACUUUAACACACCUUAUGGCUUGUCAUUGAAUUUUGGGAUGCCACACACACACACACACACACACACACUUUAACACACCUUAUGGCUUGUCAUUGAAUUUUGGGAUGCCACACACACACACACACACACAUAUAUGUUUUUUUUUUAUAUCAAAGUCAUGGGUCGAUAACUUCUCCAUCUGCUGCAUCUCCAAUAUCCAGAUUGAAGCUACUUAACGGGUCAACUAAUUCUCCAUCAAGAUUUCGAUACUAGGCAAUGAACUGGAAAGGAACUCAUUCCGUGAAACCUUCUACGUCAACCCGUAUUGUAGAACUACACUUGGUAUAUAUUAUUCCAGGCUUUGGUUGGAGCACACUUUCAUAAAAAGCUUCAUUAUAUAUAAGGACUCCAUAAUGCAAUGGUUAAAGGGGUAUCCAUUUUGCAUGUUUAAAAAAUAAGAGGGAUGAUCAGAAGGCUAGUAAAUAAAAUCUCUAGUUUUAAGUUAGAAAUAUUAUCUCACCACUUCACUUGGUGCACACAAAAUGAAUGUGUAAUCAUCCAAUAAGUAUGAUACAAAUAUAAAUAGAUUUUACCUUUCAUUAUCUACCAUAAAAAUUAUCAACCAACAAAACGUCCAUCUAGACUCAUGCAUGUACACACCAUAUUUCACACAAAUGAUUUGGUUCUACGCAUAGUAAUGUAUUUUAUUUAUUAAUGCUUCAUCAUUCCAAAUACUCCCGGGAUAUCCUGCUACACGGGGCAUCCCAACACACGAGGUAUCUCAUCUCCGAUGCAUCCUGCAAUACUCCUUGAGGCAUCUCGGCACACAGGACUUCAUCACUCACCGUUAUAUGAGUGACAAGAUUACAUUAAUCUCAUUCAAGUUAUGAUAUAUGUAGACUCACAAGCAUAGCACACAUAUCCCAACUCAAUUUAAUGUAUUUGUUAAAUAACCGCAUAUGAAAUAACACACAUAUUCUGGUUAUUAAAGUCUGGAUAUUCAAAUGAACACAUUUUGAGUCUAGAUAUCGAGCAGGUUCUAGACAUCAAAAUUUGAUAAAUCAAAUGAGUAUAUUUUAAAUUUGAAUGAAUAAGCACAUUCUAAUCAUAAAGUCGGAAUAACCAAAAGGGUAAUUUUUAGCUUGAUAGAAACUUAUAGAACAAAGGAACAUAUCCAUCAAUGGAUUGAAUCAACAAAUGAACGGAUUUAAUGAGGAGUACAUUCAUAUUCAGUAAAGUCUAUCUGAACUAAUAAACAGACAUUCACGAAUAGAUUCACAAAUUGGCAAAUUCAGCAAGUGAAUAGGACUCACCAAUGAACAAAUUCGAGCAAAUUCACAAAUGGAAAAAAUUCUGUCAUAAGAAAUUCCAGCAGAAAUAAGUGAAACAAACCAAUUAUAACUGGUAGAAUUCUAAUAGAGCUAAACAGAACAAACAUGUAAUUGGUCAUCGAGAUGACUAAGACAAAACGACCAGAUUCUAACUACUUAAAAUGAAACAGAAAAAAGAAGAACAAACUUGCAAUGGGUUAUCAAGCUAAUUAUGGUAGAACGACCAAAUUCUAACUACCCAAAAUGAGAUAGAAAGAAACAUAAUGAACAUGCAAUGGGUCACCAACAUAAAGAUGGUAGAAUGACCAGAUUCUAAUUAUCCAGAAUGAGGCAAAAAGAAGUAGAGCGAACAUGCAAUGAAUUAUCAAAACAAAGAUGAUAGAAUGACCAAAUUUUAACUAUCCAAAAUGAGGCAGAAAGAAGCAGAACGAACAUGCAAUAGGUUAUAAAAAAUAAAUAUGGUAGAAUGGCUAGAUUCUAACUACCCAAAAUGAGACAGAAAAAGACAUAACGAAUAUGCAAUGGAUUACUAAGACAAAUACAACAUAAUAUUCUAGUUACCCAGAAUGAUGCAAAAUAAAGCAGAAUAAACAUGUAAUGGGUCACCAAGACAAAGAUGACAGAAUAACCAGACUCUAACAACCUAGAAUGAGGUAGAAAGAUGCAAAAUAAACAAGUAAUGAGUUACGAAGAUAAAGAUAAUAAAAUAAUCAUAUUCUAACUACCCAGAAUGAGGUAGAAAAAAACGGAACAAAUAUACAAUAGAUUAUCAAGAUAAGUAUAACAGAAUAAUCAGAUUUUAACUACCCAGAAGGAGGCAUAAAGAAACAGACCAAAUAUGCAAUAGGUUUUCAAGGCAAAUACAAUAGAAUGACCAUAUUUUGGGUACCCAAAACCACAUAGAAUGAACCAGAAUGAAACAGAACAAACUCACAACAAAUUAUCAAAGUCACUUAACAACCACCAUACCCACAUCAAAACUUCACCUCUCAUCCAACCAACCAAGAUAAAAGUAACUAAGUAGAUUUGAGCCAACUUAACAUUAUAAAUUUCACUUACCUAAACACAACUGCAAAUCACAAGCUACUAAAUGCUUUCCUCACCUUAGUAGCUCUUGAAUAUGAAUUUUGCUCUCCAAAUACUUGGAUUAAAAAGUAGAAUUAACUGAUGUAAUUUCUGUUUGAGUUUUGAGGGACCAAAAUGGGUUAUCUGGCAAGAUAGAAGAAAUUUUGUUUAAAUUAAUUAAGAUAAUUUAAUUUCUUGCAAUGUUAGGUGUAAAUUUGCAUGUUAAUAUUCAGCUUGAUGUGGCAAUAAUGCAAAACAAGGUCCUUGCACGUGGCCAAAGAAAAUUCAAGAAGAGGAUGAGUCAUUUGGGGGAUAAAUCAUGAUUUAAUCCUUGAUGUCGAAAUUAGUAAUGAAAAUAUUGUUUAGUAAAGACAUAUGGCCGUGCAAUGCAUAAUAUAAAGGCAAGUGGUCCUUUAAAAUUCUAAUUAAUAAAUUUUGUAAGGAAAAUGUAGGAAGAGAAAUGUAAUCCACUUCUUACACAUUCACUAGCAUAAGGUUAUCCACUAUUAUUAAUAAUUAACUAAAGUUUACACAAUUUAUAACACCAUUAACUAUUAAAGACAAUAAUAAUUUAAUUAAUACUAUUCUACUAUUAGCACAUGCAUAAUUUAAUUCGAAUGCUGAACUUGAGAUGAUGUACGUUUAUGAAAAUUACCCAUCACGUCUUCCGAAAUUAACAAUUCGACUAAAAUUUUCAUGUAAUCAUCCGAAUACUGAGGCAAAUAAUACUUAGUAGCUUAAACCCUAAGUAUUAUUAUCACUUUCUAAUAUUACAUAAUUACAAAUAUGGAAAUUUAGGAUGUCACUACAUGGACCCACCUAGCCUAUCUCAAUGUUGAAGGGUGUUCGUUCUCCUUCAGUGGACUGGGCUUCAAGGUUCGGGAAUCCUUCUACAGGCGUGCCGUACGAAGCCCAGGGUUGACUUGAGCUAGCCGCCUACGGGCCCUGAAAUGGAAACCGUUGGACUAGUGGCCAUUGGACGGGGCCGGAAACAUUUCCCGAAGCAAGGGCCGGAUCUGAGGUGAUUUGAGUCAUAGAUCGCACAUCUUCAGCCAUAUCAACCUCCCCUGGAUUUUGAAGUGAAUUCGGGUUCUCCUCCACUGAAGUAUUUCCUUCAGUAUUCUUGGCCAUGAUAGAGUUAAAUUCCUACUGUAGACUGUUUUGCUUUGCAAGCUUUGAGUUGUAGUAGCAAAAGAGAAGGAAGCAGAGGAAAUUUGUGGGCUUUGCGGAAGCUAGGUUGAAAAGAACAGCUCUAAUACCAUGUCAAAGUUUGAGGAAUAGGCCAAGAAGGUGAGAACAACUUAUAAUUUUUGUAUUCAGUCUUAUCUUUUAUAUUGUACAAGCUCGUAUUUAAAGUACAAUGUAUGUCUAACUAUGGAAAGAAUAAAUGAAGAUAAGUUAAAUUAAAUCCAAUCUUGGAUUGAUAUAAUCUAUCGAUUAUAAUCGCCUACAAUCUUGGAUUGGUAUCAAUCACAAUCUUCGGUUUGAUCACAAUCUCAUGUCCAAUUCUCACAUAUCUCCAACACAGUCUUAAGGAUUAAGUUUUUUUCACUCUGUCCCCCUCAACUUUGUCAACUUAUCUAAAUCUGCCCUAGAUAACUGACUUUCUAUCAAAAUGGGUGAAAACUAACUUAAGUAGUGUCACACUAGUCUUUUUAACUUUUCAAAAGGAGUGAAAGUAAUUGGUCACUCAAUCUAGUCUUUGCCACUGGCAUGGAAGGCUACAUGUUUCAAACAAACUGAGCAUGUUUAGUUUGUUUGUAAUUUUACGUAGUCCAAUGUUCUCUACCAAUUUCUCCAUCCUUUGACCAGGAGAGAAUUGAAAUUGAAGAUUUCUGCAUGAUAUAUAAUGAAAGUUCGCCUCACGUGGGCAGCACGAUUUGAUGCCUCAUAUACAUUACACUCACGUGAGUAGCAUGUGUGCAAGAAUGGGACAACAUAAGGCGAUAGAUACACAAAGUUCUAUCGACAUUUUGACUUAAAAACAGGCAAUUCGAGUGUCUUAAGGACGGAAUUCUUGGAUAGGAGGGUCAUAUCAUGAACUACGAAAAUCAAGGAUUGAAUCUUUGACGCCUUUUCACUCUUGUUACUGUCAAAGGAGCCCGUUUUCUCCAAUAAUUUAAUUAUUAGGAAACGGGUCACCAAUGUAUCUAUAACAUACCACUUAAUGGUACAAAAAUAUUCUGUGUCAUGCCUACAUCACCUAACAUGUCGGUGAAUAUGAUUCAAAAGUGAAUAAGCGAAGACAAAGAGGAACAAAAUGGAAACCCUCGAGUCCAUAAAUGAUGAAAUCCAACAUAGGAAUCUCGUAAAACCGAAAGCGAAGUACGAAGAACAUGAAGAAGGAAAUGAAAAGGCGAGUAGAUGGACAUGACACAUGUUAUGCCCAUGACCAUGAGCAAGGCCCAGCUUCGAGAAAGAACUAGAAGCCCAUAACCAGAACGUUCGCCCACGCUGACACCUCGUUCCAGAAAUCUCACGAACGUACGAGAGGACCUCCUCUUCUCUCCCAUAAAUACCCGGUGCGUCCCUCGCCUUCCGACAAGGAUCCAGCAAGAAAGCAUAUUACCAAUUAACUCCAAACCCGAGCAGAAGUCUAUCCCUCGCGUCCUCCGAAAUCAAGCAAUCCAUCCACUGUUACAGAGGCCAUGUCGCUCAUUCCCAGCUGGUUCGGUGGCCGACGCGGCGACGCCUCCGACCCCUUCUCGCUCGACCUCUGGGACCCCUUCAAGGACUUCCCUUUCCCUUCCUCUUCCCUCUCCGCCUCUCCUUUAAGGGGAAAUUCCGCAUUCGUCAACACCAGGAUCGACUGGAGGGAAACUCCGGAAGCCCACUUGUUCAAGGUCGAUCUUCCGGGGCUCAAGAAAGAGGAAGUGAAAGUCGAGAUCGAGGACGAUCGGGUGCUUCAGAUCAGUGGAGAGAGGAAGGUGGAGAAGGAGGACAAGAACGACAAGUGGCACCGUGUGGAGCGUAGCAGCGGGAAGUUCAUGAGGAGGUUCAGGUUGCCCGAUAAUGGGAAGAUGGAUCAUGUGAAGGCCUCGAUGGAGAACGGAGUGCUCACCGUCACUGUUCCCAAGGUGGAAGAGAAGAAGCCUGAGGUCAAGGCCAUUCAAAUUUCUGGUUGAGUCUGGAAUAGUAACUUGCGAGUGCUAAUGUGAAUUCGAGGCUUCGUGUGUGCAGAGUCUGUGAGCUUCGUCUCUUUCUUGUGUUUUUGGAGAGUUGUAUAAACCGGGUGUUGUCUCUGAUACACUGAUGUAAUCUGAACUAGCAAUACUUUUCUGGAAAAAAAAACUUUACGUUAAUGUGGCAAUUUCAGUUCCAUUUUAUCUAGUAAAUUUGAUUGCUCGAGUGGUGUCGCGACCAAUUUUUUUUGGGUAUGAACCACCUAGAGUUUGGCUAAUGGAUUGUUAAGCCUAGACUUAAUUCGGGCUCUCCCAAGCCCAUACCAAUUCGCGACUUUAGGUUCAAGUUUUUUUUAACAUGCAAAUGGAUUUUAUCUAGGAGUCGCCACUAAUCUAUUUUUGAUGGGUCGAUUAGAAACCCAAGCAAAGUAACGGGAGUUUUACUUUACUCCUACAAACCAGAGAUUUAUGAGUUCGGGGACUUGACUACGCUAGAUUUCGCUAACGCCCUUUCGGUACCUUUCUUUUUAUUUUGAAAAAUGUUUGGCAAGCGGUUUGGAUUGAUUUUAUCCCUAACAUGUGAUGCGAUCAUGCAGGUGCGUAAUCCAUCAAUUUAACACCCAAUAAAGCAAAUAGAAAAUGCAGGACUUACCUCGUAGCAAUGAAAGCAUCUGCAAUGUUAAUUCAAAAUCCACAUCAACAACCUUGGAUAUGGUUUCUAAUUAACACGCAAAUUCUCUUUUUUGUUUUAACUUAUUUAAUGAAAAUUAUGCAACAUGCGAUGCAAUAUUAACUAAAUAACCUAACUCUAAUGACAAGCAAUUUCUAAUUAAAUGCAUCUAACCAAAAUCACUAAAUGACGUGCAUUGUAUGAAACUAAUUCUAUAUGACGUGCACAUGAUUUUUAUUUUCCUAAUAAGCAUGCAAUCUAUUUAGGAGAAAUGAUCUAAACCUAUAAUAUGCAAUCUUUUUUGUAUUUUCGGGAUAAAUAAAGCAAUUAAAAGAUAAACACCAAAUCAUCCAUGGUCAUCAAAGAUAUUAUCCAUUGUUCGAGUUUGGAAACGAUAUCUAAUCAAACCUGAUUGUUUCGCUAAUAAAAUCGAUAAAUUGAUCUUAAGCCUUAAAGAUCAAGAUAUCGAUUUUAUUCCUGCUUGAUUAAUUAUUCCAUCUAAAGCCUUAUAGAGGGAAUAAAAAAUCAUAGUGUGGUUGCGAAUUAGGAAAUAAAUCCUAAUUGAAAGUUAUGUCUAUCACUCACGGAUAUGAAACUAGGUAGACAUAUAUUUGGCAAUAAAAUAUCCAAAUAUACUAGAGAUGUGCACCUUACCUAAUUUGAUGAUAUUCUUCCCGAAUUUGGACCAAGUGCAAUCGGACCGAGAUCGCGACCGAUUUUUUUUGACAGCGAACGGCGGCAAGGGUAUGUGCACGACGACGAUGCUCCACGGCGGUGGGGGUGCUUGGCAACGUAUCGGCUAUUCUUCCCUCAAAAUCUGUAGCCGCCACCUUCCAACCUCUUCUCGGUCGACUCGCCAGAAACUAUUCUUUUGCUUGCAUGAAAUAAAAUUAUAACACCCGUAACGUUACUAGCAAAUCUGGAAAAACACCUAAAAUAAUAAAAGUCCACCGAAAUUCUUAUGACUCCUCUUUGACCGUAGACUUCGGGGCAAGUGGUGAUGUCCAGAGAGCACACUUGCGCAUGAAUUGGCUUUUGUGGAUGAGCCUGGUCAACCAUAAACUCCACUGUCCCUCUGCUACGUCCACAUAUAUGUGUCCGUGUGUUGUAGAAUGCAAAAGUGGAGAAGACGUUAAUAUGGAGAUGAUCAAAAUGUGGGAUCAUCCAUGAGACUAUGCUUAAAUAAAUAAAUAAAAGACAUAUGGCGAGAUUUUAAUCAAAGAAGAAGCCAAGGCGUGAAUCGCAUAUCCCGUUCUGCAUGUGUCGUGUUCCCUUCACGUCUCUAUGCUGAGCGGGGGUUCAUCAGGAAGCAGCAAGCGUCUCAUGGGAAAAUUGCUGGCGCCAAUGUGCUUGGUUCGUCUCAAAGAACACCUAGCUUCGUCAAUGGGGGUUAGAUCAGAUCGGAUUUCGCCGAGGAGGGGUGCGGCAGCUCUUUGCGUUGUUGAUGCUGUGGGAGUUCAGAAUUAAAACAUACGUCUUCCACUUGAAGCGGCUUUGAAAGUUGGCUUGCGGAUCGAGAUCGGGGCUCAGCGUGGCAGCGCACGGCUGCAGUCUACGCUAUCGGCAAUGGCGGGCGUCUCGGCACGGUGCCACGGAUGGCGUUGGGAAGCAGCGGGAGGCAGCAACUCAAACUUGGUUCAGCAACAGUAACGGCUCGGGCUUUCGGCGGUGAUGGAGAUGCUGGCGUCGCGGGCAGCAAGCAGCAGCGUCGUCGUCGGUGUGGGCGUGACGAUGGCAAGGCUAUUCUCUCUCCCUUCCCAAUUGUGGCUUUCAGAAAAGACAAAGAAACUCUAUUUCUUUCCUCUCAAUGUGCCCACUCACGAUAUCUCUACCCAAUAGCCGUGUUUUCAAUUGCCUGACCUCCUCCUAAACCCUAGCGAAUUAACCUAUUUAUAGGCCACGAAUUAUGGUUUUUUUUUCAAUUUUCCAAAAUUAUAUCCACGAAUAUUUCUUUUCUAAAUGCAAUAUUUACUUUUAAAUUGAAAUCUUACAAAGGUAAAUCCGUAAAAUCUCCAUAAUGAUACGGGCUUGGGCUGAUUCGCUCUCUUCGUGGGCUUAGCCCGAUUCAUCAAUUUAAAAGUUCCGAGCCAUCAAUUCGAACCCACCUGUCACCGGCUCAAUGUAAAUGCAAAUUAAAGAUAAAUGCACCUAAAACUAUAUGUUAUGCAAUUAACUAUUUUUUUAGGGAUAAAAUUAACCCAUAAUUUUCUAUGCAAUAAAUAAAUGACCGGAUCGCCAAAAUUUAGGUGUCAACAAGUGGAUAUUUGCUUUACUCUUGAUCUUGCUUGCCUAUCUUUCAUUUGGCUUCAAGCUUCAGGAAUUAUUUGGAUUUUUCCUAGCUAGCAGUUUGCGUAGUGUAUUAUCCACUUGUUCACGAGUACAAGCAAUAAAGUGGGGACCAAAAAAGCUGCCAAUGAGAAGACAGAGAGAGAAAAACCAAGUGCUUCUUUAAAAAGUUCAAUUACUCCGAGCUUUCGCAAAUUAACCAUUUGGUGUGUCCUGUUUAUUUGUCCUUGAUUGUUGGGUCUGUUCUGCGUAAAUUUUCGAAGAGAGUAAAACUAACCUGAAUCAGCAAAAGCCUCUGUGUGUAAGAGCUUAACUCUGCAUAGCAUUUUAUAUCUUUGAUUGGAAAAGAGAUGAAGAAGAUGGAAAAUCAAGGGCGAGGUAAGAGAUUGGUCCUGGUCCCAGGACCAUUCUAGGGCCACCUCACUCCCAUGCUUCAGCUGGCAACUGUCCUCAAGUCGAAGGACUUCUCCAUCACAGUUGCUCACGCACAUUUCAACAGUCUAGAUUACUCUGUUUUCCCCGAUUUCACCUUCUUAUGCAUACCUGACGGCUUGUCUGAAGAGGAGGUUCAAAACCCUGAUCUGCAAGCCAUUAUUCUAAGGCUUAAUGUCAACCGUGAGUCCAGCUUGAGGGAGUACCUAACUCGGAGCACAAAUCAUAUGGGGCCGGGUGACAAGAUUUGCUGUAUCAUCUAUGAUGCAGUAGUGUACUUCUUGGAAGCUGUUGCCCACGAUUUGAAGAUUCCUAGCAUUGCUUUACACACAAGCAGUGCUGCUCCUACCAUAGUCCACCCGAUUCUUCUCCAGGUGAAGGCAUUCCGAUCCCAGGUACAUGUUGAAUUUCUCUUAUUUAAGUGACAAUUAUUUCUUUGUUAAUUAAUAUUAUGGUCACAGAGAAUCUUGCUCAUAUUCCGCUUUGUUUAUGAGGAUGGAUGUAUUGCCGAAAAUUUGUUGCAUUUUUAAAAUCUGUAUGUGUGACCCUCAGCAUGACCCUAUAGUUUAUGAUCCGAUGAGUCUCCUCUGUGCCUAUACCUUUUCUAAGACUGGUAUUUUCCAUUUGCAUUUAGUUAUAUAGUCAAAUAAAAUUUCAAAAAGAAAUUAUUAUAAUCAUAAAAUUCGAAGAAUGCCUCAUCAAAGUAAUCAAAGCUCAUCAAAGAAAUCAGAGACAUCCAAUGAUGCAUUUGUUACUUCAGGAGCAAGAUGAGUCCCACCAAGAGAGAUAUUAUUGGCCUCAAUGAUGGUUAUGGCAAUAGAAUUGAUUUUAAUGGCACGAGAUUCAUUACGCUUGCUCAUAUUUUUUUAAAGAUGUAUGGUAUAAAUCAACAAAAUACUUUGGCGUACAACAAGUACGUGACCAAUGUUUAGUCAUGCCAUAGCAAUAGCAAAUAUUUUCAUUAGUCACAUUCUUUGAUUUCUUUUCUUUGUUAUGAUUCGGGCCAAAGUUAGAUUUUCUAGGGCCGUUAUUUUUUGCCAUCCCUUCAAGGAUUAAGUUUUUGCCUGUGCUUAUAACCUUUAAAAUGGCCAGUAUUUUUCUCAAAGUUAGCAUGUGCUUCAGGCAAUACUUUUGAGCCAGUAGGUCUAAGAUUAUAAUUUUUUUGUAGCAAUUCAUUAGUUUGCUCAGUAGUGAGGAACACAUAAAUUAAUUCAGAGUAUGUGACAAACUGAUGCUAUUGCAAUAUAAUAUUCGAAGUAUGGAAGGUGAAGAAAGUUUUCUCUAAUAGUUCCGCAUCAAUGAGCUUGAUACUGCAUAACUUAAGCUGAGAAACAAUAUAAAAUAAAGCAGAGUUAUAGUCAGACACUGAUUUAAAAUAUUGCAGUAUGAGAUUUCGCCAAUCAUAUUGUGCUUGAGGAAUGAUAACAAUCUUCAUAUGAUCAUACCUAUCAUUCAAUCUUAGACCUUCAACCUCCUCCACAAGGUCUAAGGGUCUUGAAUAGAUAAAUAUUUAGUCUACAAGCUCUUAUGCAAAUUACAGUGAAUAAAAAUUAGUGCAUUUGUUUUAUCUUUUGCAUUUGAGGUUCCAUAUUCUGUAAUUGCGCUAGUAAGACCUUACCCAUGGAGGUGCAUUUUUAUGUCAAGGCACCAAGAUAGAUAAUUAUUUCUACUCACUUUCGGGAUGUGGAAUUUGGGCUUUUAAAAAAUAAAUCAUUAAAUUAAUUAGAAAGAUUUCCAAAUAUCCACCGCCACUUCAGGAGCAGAAUGAUGAUUUUAGAUUUGAAAUUGGCUUUGGGCCAAGAAAAAUAAAAAUGAAAAAUUGAUAGGAGAAGAUGAAGUAUAAGUUGAUUAAUGAAAAUAAAGAGAACACUUACCUUACAAAAAUUACUUACUCGGUCGGUAGAUCUUCGUGUUGAUAAUGUGUUGUAAAAUAUUGCGUUGUAGAUAUAUAAUACAAAGAAUAGAGAGAUUAACUAGAGAAAGCAAGUAAACACUAAAGAUAGUAGAGAAAGCCAUACACUAAAUAUUGUAGAGAAAGUCAGAGCAUAAAUUUUUAUUUUCACUUUAUCACCCUAUGUUUAUGACAAAAACUAAGCUCCUAUUUAUAAGAAAACAAUGAUGCACUUAUCAUUAAUGUUACACCUUGAUCCUCGAGCGCGUACCCAUCCCUCAGUGAUCGAUAAAUUUGCAACGUCUUAGGACGCGUUGCCAACCCAUUUAUUUUAUUACGCAUGGGAAAGCAAAACAAUUACCCAUGACAAUAACCAACGUAGGAUAGAAAAACAAGAAACAUAUUUACAACCAAAAUACUUUUAUGAACACCCCGGUUUAUAUACAACAUUAGACUAAAGACAAAAGUCUACAAAAGACCGUCUCUCAAAACGAAGCUAUUCUAUGACUAGCUAACCGGACACAUUUGCCGAUCCUUCGGUCUCUACAGGCUCUAGGGGCGUUGGGUCCUCUAUAGCAUCACCAGGAGGGUUAGCUGCACUCUCACCUAGAGUGGCAUCGACUAUUAUAGAGAGAAUUUCAAAAUCCUGGAGGGGACUCACACGGAAUCCAUUGAAACCGUAGCGAAACCACGCUCUGAACUAAUGAGGUACCCUCUGAGGUAGGCUCUUAUCGACCCAAACGAUGUCACCACGAGUUCAUAGACCCAUUGACCCCCUGGGGCAUGGUAGUCAAAACUCCGCUUGGUAACUCUUAUAGGCCGACCAAAACAUUCCAGAGAAAUCGUCAUCUAAGGACCUGAAAAGGUUGAGCCCACAACGGGGUGAAACAAUAUCUCAGCAAGUUCACCCCCUAAAUUCCGACUAGAAAGGAAAUACGCUUAAAGGCAGCUAUACACACAAGUCAGAAGACUUAUCUUAUCUCAGUUCUCUCCUGCAUGUCAGUACAGUUCAUAAUCUUAACCAAACAAUUCAAUACAAUCGAUAUGAUCAAUACCAUCUAUCAAUUCAAUCAAUUCGAUCACUGCUCACAUAAGCUGAGGUAUGUUUAUGCUCGCACAAGCUAAUAUAGAUGGUUGCUCACACAAGCUGAUCUACAUUAUAGCUCAUACAAUCUGAUAUAUAUUAUUGCUCUCACAAGCUGACAUAUCAAUGCUCACACAAGCUGACGACCAUUGUUCACACAAGCUGACGAUUUAAUGCUCUUACAAGCUGACAUACGAUAUUGCUCACACAAGUUGAUGAUUCAAUAUUCUCACAAGCAGACGUAUAAUAAUGCUCGCAUAAGCUAACGUACAAAUUGCUCACACAAGCUGACACACGAUCAAUCAAUUCUAACCAAGGACGUGGUGCUUUGCACACCAAUUUCUCAAUUAAAAUUACUUGGCCUAUUUUCAUCGAAUUAAAAAUACCCGAUAAAAAUAAUCAUGUGUGGAUACAUGGUUAAUUUGAACCGAAAAUGCAAUAUCUUACUUUUUGAAAAUCUCACUAUUUAAAAUAGUGCAUAAACACAUUUUCAACGUUAAAACUGACGCCAACCACUAGGGGUUCGCCCCAGUGGCCACCCUUUCAACUUGGAAAUGGGAGGUGGAGGUUCAAAUCUCCACAUUCUCAAGGGAGAUUGGGGUGGAGACGAUUUCAUUUCAAGAAUGGGUUUCGACUCCCACGCCCUGCAAGGAGGUAGAACAAAAGUUUGAGAGUGAGUGUUAAAAUAGGAUUAGAGGAUGACCAAAAAAAAAAAAAGGUUAAAACUGAUGCCCCGGUAUUUUCUGAACAAAAUACCAAAAUUUCACAAUUUUGGAAUAAAUACCCAAAAUUAUAAUUUCCACAAAAUAGCAUUCAGUUGUAGAAACUAAACACACCAUUGUAAUUAGCACGAAAUUCCGAUUACCAGCUAUCUUGAUAUAAUUUUCAUAAAAUAAUAAAUAAUUAAAUAAAUACAAUUAAUUACCAAAAAUACCAACUUAGGCCAGAAAUGCUUUUAAACCGCCUGAAUAGGCCAGGAAAAUUUUUGAACCUAUCUAGAUAAAUAGUACAAUUUAUCUAGUCCUUAAUUAUGCUAUUUUAACCACCUAACAUACACAAUUAAAUAAUUAAAUCACUAAUCCAUGCUAACUAACCACCUAAACCAUACUUAGCCUAAACUAAUCACCUCCUAAGCAUCAUUAACUCAUCAAGCAUAGUUUAGUAAGUAAACUUAUCGGUUUAGUGAUCCGGUGAGUCCACGACGUCGGCGACGCAGAGACAAACGACAACCAAGCUCACAGCGACACUAACGGAGGACCAAGUGGGCCUGAAAACAGGCCUAGAAGUCUCAGCUCUUACUGAAACUUCUGCUUCUGAUCUUGGCUGUAAGGUCUGGUCGAAGGGGCUGCUAGCUAGCUGGAACGGCUCGAAAGGAGAGGCAGAGGCUGCUGCGGGCAACAACUGGCAACGGUGAGGCUUCGACGGCAACCAAGGAGGCUCAAGGGAUGGUGAGGUUGCUUAGGUGCAAGCGGACGGGCGCGCAAACGUGCGAGCAAGUGGGACAAUGCACGACAGGCUCGGGCGGAGCAAGUGGCGACUCUAGUGGCUUCUACAGUGGUCGACGGGCUAGGGGAAAGGGAUGCUUUGUGUUCCUCUGGUUUUCUAAGCUCUCUCAAGCCUCAACAAUGGGGAAAGUGAUGCUGCUGAGGAAGAAGGAGCCAACUGCAGCUUUGAGGGUCCCAAUGGCCAAAAUAUCCUCUUAUUUGAUCAUUGCUUGCCCCCACCACUUCAGCCCUAUCCUCAGCCAAAUUUGCAACACCAAAAUUCCCCUAGAAGCUUUCCCAAGAGGUCCAAAAUGUUGUCUCCCCCAUGGCCUACGAAUUUUGGACCCAAUCCCCUCAAAUUGAAUUAAUUCCCCUCAAAUUGAGCUCAAUUUGAUGUCCAUAAAUCUAUCCCAGGUGCCAUCAUCCAAAUCAAUAUUUUUCCUCAUCAAUUUUUCCUACUUCAAUCCCAAAAAUGCCACCAAAAAUGGCCCUUUGAUUUUCCCGGUAAAAAACGGCCCUAUUUUAAAAUUUUGCCAAAAAUCUCGGCUUGCAGAAAAAUCUUCUAGUCUUAAAAUAAAUUGUGACAUAACAAAACUUUCAAUUUCUAAAAUCAGGUUUAAAUUCGCGGUUAAUUUCAACCGAGCACGAUUUUAGUGUGACAUAAUCUACCGGGUAGCUUUUAGCAAUUUUUAGUACAAUUGACCCGUGGUCAAUUAUUUUCGAGCCACAUUAUACAUCUUCGACACAUUGACGACUCUCGAUUGUCAUGAAAAUCUCGAGAUUUCAAAUACUAACACAGGGUACCAAAACAACAGAAAAAUCGGUCUAGUGUCAAUCGACAAUAAUUUUGUAAUUAUAUGGAAUCACCCAUACUCAAUCACAUGACUCAAUCGAGUCGACCUAUCUCCGUUCUCUCAUCGGUUUUUAAUUGUGCUGUAAUAACCCUUGUAGAUUAGCACGGUCGAGCACGAUUUCUAGUCGAAUUCUCAAGUCUAUUGCGUUUAGAUUCCUUAAUGGCUUCACCUAAUAGACUAGCUAUCUUGUGAGUGAUCAGUUCGAGGAAAAGAAAUAAAGGCGUAUCGAUGAAAAGCCCAACUUAUUCAAUUAAAAACAGAACCUGAAAACUAGGAUGUCACAAUUAAUAUCAAUGUAUUAAAUAAAACAUAUAUUGGAUAUGAAGAUGAACAUUUAUUGUAUAAGGAGAUGUACUUAGAAUGUCAGAUACAAAUGUACUAUACUAAAUACGUUAGAUAAUAUGAAUAUAAUAAAUAUUCAUUCAUAUAUUUCAUAACAGUAAUUAGCCUUUUAUUUCCUCGUGACAAUCAUCAGAUUAGAGAGAAAUGAUCAAAUUCACUAGUUCCUCUAUUGCAGUGUGCGAAGAACCACUUUUUUUUAUGCUCAACUCGAUUUGGUCUUUGAAAGCCGCGGCUCUCAGCCUCAUCUCUUUCCCUUCCUCACCAGCCAUCAGCCUCCUCACAGCUUGCUCUAUCUCUUUCUGGUCUAGAUCACCCUCCAACUCCAAUCCCACCCUCCAAACGUGGCACAAGUACCUUGCGUUCACAUUCUGGUCCAUGAAGCACGGUCGGCAUAUCAUCGGGACUCCUUCGGAAAUGCUUUCCAAGGUUGAAUUCCAUCCACAAUGGGUCCAAAAGCCUCCCACGGCACGGUGUGCUAAAACAUCCUUCUGUGGAGCCCAUCUCACAACACGGCCAGUAUCUCCUAUGGCUUCUUUGAAUCCUUCUGGCAACAGCUCGAUCCAUUCUGAGCCUCUGACUGAGCCAGGUCGGACUGCCCACAAAAAUGGUUGGCCGCUGUUCGCCAGCCCCCAAGCUGUCUCUGCAAACUCUCUUUCAUCCAUUGAAGCCAAGCUUCCUAAGCUCACAUAUAUGACUGAAUUAUUAGCUUGCUUAUCAAGCCACAACAGGCAAUCGGUUUCUUCUUCCAAUAUGCUGGUUGGUGAAGCUGGAGCAACUUUGUGCAAUGGGCCUAGUGAGAAAAAUGGCACAUGGCAUUUUUUCUGGACUUGGUCUGAUAACUGUUUCUCCAGGCAGUCCACUGUGUUCCAAAGAAUGGCUGAAGAUGUCUUGAUAUCGAGCAUCAUAGCUAUUACUCGCAUCAUUGGUUCUGGAUCGCCAUUAAAAAGAGGCAGGUCCUUGCAUCUCAAGGGAUAAGCGCCUGGAACUGGAUCUUUCGACGAAUGAUCUGUAAAGUCAAAAAUACUGCUGCUUAGCAUGUAUUGUUUCUAUGAUUUCAUAGUCUGAUGAAAACAUAAAAACUAGUCCGAAAUUUGAAUAUUCCAGCAAGUUAAAAAAGAGAUGGUCCUUUUAUUCUAUUUUGUAUUUAGUGGACAUUCUUUCUUCCUUCCCAGUCGGAUUGCUCUACAUAAAGGCGAGAAUAUGAUCUUUCACAAGCAGUUUCAGCAUGUGUGGUGCCGUUGACUUCACUUACGUGCCGUCUACUCUGAUUAAACGAAGAGGUAAUAGGUGGUUUUGACAGCUGGGCUAAUGUCUACUGAGUGGUUCGUCUUCUGGAAAACGAGUCGCCGUGAAGACCUAGUAUGCUUUCCUUGUUUUUGCAGCAAGUGCUUUUUACGAAAACACAAAGAUACCCUGUUAAAGUACCACUUAGUGAGUUGAAGAAAAAGAAAAUUACGAGCCAAACUCAAAAUGUGUCAUCAUGGACUAAUGAUUAGUUGAGUCUCUAUUUAGCUUGGCUAAACAAUGUCUUCAAAUUUUGAAGAGACCCUAAAUUUUGCUGUCGCAUUUCUCUGUGAUACAACUAAAUUUUGCUGUCGCAUUUCUCUGUGAUACAAACACAAUCAAAUGAGAAGCCCUUCCAGUUCAUCGGAGUUCCACCAUAGAAAGUGCAUUCUUAACAUCCAAUUGAUGCCGCAUGCUUGUUACUCUUGAUUUCUAGUGAAAUUACUGCCAAACUACAUCACAGAGGUAACUAGAAGUUUAUUGCGCAUACUGAUAUCUGAUGGUUUAUUAUGUCUAUAUGAGGAUUGAACAUACCUUUUGGGGGAAAAUAACCUUCCCUUCGGAGCCAAGGCAAUUCGGAGAAAAUCAGCUGAGUGCCGAUACUACUAGUGCGCAAAGCCAUGCGAGGAAGUUUCAUAUAAUGAGCUGCAGCGUCUGCACAGUACAUCAGCGUAUCAUAAAUCACGCAAGAGAUUUUACUCUCGGUUGCUUCAUCCUGUGCCAUCAUAUCUGACAAUAGUUGGCGGAGAGGUCCUUCACAGUUGGUGUUGAGACUCGCGAAAAUAGCCGCAGCAUCCCCGGAGGAGAGGAAAUCCUUCGGUAAGCAAUUGGGAAUAGGUGCAAAGGUAAAAUUGGGGAAACCAGAUGGAUGGGGAUGAUUGAAUUGAGUGUGAGCUAUUACAAUGGAGAAGCCCUUGGAAUGUAGGAGGGACGCCAAAUUGAGCAUCGGGGUUAUGUGUCCUUGAUAGGGGCAGGCGACUAGCACCAAUCUACGAUUGCUUCUCUGCCCUCGUUCCUCCAUUUCUCUCAUGGGACUACAACCAGAGCCUCGGUCCUGGAUGAACUCAUCAAAUGAUUGGUCUUAUAUUCAAUACUGGGUCGUAAGCGAAAUGUUAUGGAAAACAAGAAGAAAUCCUCUUAUUAAUUUGUUUUUCUCGUGCAGUAACAUAAAAAAAUGGUAAACAAAUUGAUUACUUCAUUGAAGGGAGACGGGCUAACAAAAAAACAGUUGUCGCACCAUGAGACGUGGAGGAAACACCUCCCCUAGGACACCAGAAUUUUUUUUUCCUUUCAUGUCUGGCUUUGUUUAAUCUCAUGUGAGAAUAUUCUUUUGCUCCGGGAAGAUCUCUAGUUAAUUUGAUCCCAUCCCAAAACGAGCUCUUAUCUCUUUGCAGAUUCGAUUUAUUUGGCUGCUGAGGCGACUCCCCUUAUAUGAUGGCAUUGAAGUCCGCUGCUACUGACGACACCAGAAGCUCAUUAUUCAUAUGAAAUGGAGUGAGUAUAGCUUGUUUUGAGCACUAGUGCUUGUAACCUUCUUGAAAAAUCACCAUAUGGAAGCAUUAUCUCGUAUGUAUGUAUGUUUUGUAGCUGAAGCUCACAACCUUAUGUAAGCUGACAAAGCUUGUCUUACUCAGACAGCUAGAGCAAGCAGGACUCAGAAGCAAAAGAGUUGCGAAGUCUGCAUCCUUUCAGACACCUUUCUAUUUCUCGAGACAAAAUCAAGCGUAUCAAAAAGCAGCUUCAAAAUUCAGCUGCUGCGAAAGUCAAACUGAUCUGGGGGGCUUCUCAUAUUCGUUUUCGUGAUAUGAGAAAUACCGAUGUUUGUUAAGUAGAAAGUUCAAAGGGAACUAGCAUCCAAAGGCCUGAUAGACUCAGAUAUGAAAUCAAUUUUUUUUUAACUGAAAGCUUCAUAAAGACCAAUAAUGCUCCUGCUUCUUCCUGUCGUCGAAUGACACGAGCAGUCUCAUUGGGAUUGACUUAAGAAUGAAUGUUCCUCCUCGGGAUGUUAUCUCUACAACAACAGGAACAACCAAGCCUUGUCCCAUUAAGUGGGGUCAGCCAUAGGAAUUCUAUCAUGCCGCUGUGCUUGAUUUUUUGUUAGAUUUUCUAUGAACUCUUCCACGUCUUUCUGGGAUUCCCCCUACUCCUUUUAACUAAUACAUCCUGUCUUCAUUCACGUUACCUCGCCGGGGCACCUGAAGGCCUUCGUUCGACAUUACCUAAUAAUCUCAUACGGCCUUAUCUCAUCUGAAUGCCUUCGAGAUGUUAUGCUGAGAUCUAGUGGCCACACUCAGUUGUAAAGCCAUGCACCAGGCAAAAUGGACAGACUAUAUGAGAUUUACAUUGGUUGCAUAAUCUCAAAGAUCUAGGAAACCUACUUUCUAUCAGAAUAGGUGGAGACUAAAUCACGCGUUCUCACAUGGGUCUUUUCAGUCUCUUUAGAAAGGUAAAACUAAAUAGUCACUCAACCUCCUCUUUACCACUGGUAUGGGAAGGUUGCAUGUUUCAAAUAACUGUUCAAAACAUCUAGAAUUCCAGGGGAGUUCUAAGUUUUCUCUAACAUUUCUUCGUUACACCAAUGACAUAAGUUGUUCAUGAAUUUUGGUCAAAUGUACAAUAUCGUCCAUGAACUUUUAAUUUGUUUUAUGUUGUUGUUAAACUUUAGCCCAAUGUGGUACGAUCUUUAAACUAUUAAUAGAUGUUCAAUUUAAUCUCCUAGAUUAUGUCAAAUUGACAAAAAUGGAAUGACUCUAUGGAACAUUCAUAAGUAGUUUAGGGAUUAUUGAACAGAUUAAAAGUGUGAGGACGAUAUUGCAUAUUAAGUCAAAUUUCAAAAACUACGUUGCACAAAUUAAAAGGUCAAAGACAAUAUUGUAUAGUAGAUCAAAGUUCGGGGACUAUUUGAACUAUAAUCCCUUCUUUGGUUGAGAAACGAAAGAAACCUGAGAUCCUAGACUUAAGACACUUUAUUGGAAAAGGGUAGUGGUAGAGACAUUUGUUUUCUUUUCAACAAUAACUUUCUCUUCUUCACAUUGUGAUGUAAGUAAGCUAUUCCACACAAUAUACAGUUUUAGGUCGUCUCACGUAGGGCCGUAUGAAUUGGUGCUUCACUACAUUAUGCUCACAUAAGUAGCAUUUGUAAUUAUUGCACAACAUAAAGUGAGAAACACACGUCGAACCGAUCUUUUAACUUGAGUAGGCAAUUUAGGCGAGCCUAAGACGGAAUUUUUGGAUAGGAGGGCCAUAACCAUGAACAACGAAAAUCCCGGAUUGAAUUCUCGACACUUUCUUGCUUUUGUCAUCAUCAGAGGAACCUUUUUUUUUUUAAACGCUUAAGCGAUUAAAAACGGGCCAACUAUGAGUAACGUAUGAGUUCAGUUAUUUCCAGGAUCAUUGAAGUUGAACAAAAACAUUCUAUGUAACACCUAUAUCACACGACAUAUCGAUGAGAUGGCGCUCAACCAAAUCAAUUAUUUUUUAUUAUUAAAAUGAUCUUCAAAUGUGAAUGCGCGAUGGCAAAAAGGAACAGAAUUGACAGACAAAUAUGAGGAAGGGUAAGAGAAGGCGAAGUAGUUGAACAUGUUGCGCAGCUUCGAGAAAGAGCCAGAAGCCCAUAACCAGACGCUCGCUCAGUCUUACACCUCGUUUCGGAAAUCUCAUGAACGCCCGAGAAGACCUCCUCUUCUCCCCAAAAAUACCCAGCACGUCCCUCUCCUUCCGACAAGGAUCUAGAAAGCAAGCAAAUUCCCAAGAAACUCCAAACCCGAGCAGAAAUCAAUCCCUCGCGUCCUGCAAAGUCAAGCUUCAUUCCACCGACUUAUUCAGAGACGAAGUCGCUCAAAGUUCCAACUUCAGGAUUUGUUGCCAGAGGGCAUCUUUGCUUUACUCCUUGAUUUUGUUCGCUUGUCUUUUGUUUGGCUUCAUUUCAGGAAUUAUUAGGGAUUUUCCUAGCCAGCAGUGUAUAUUUUAUCCACUAGUUCACGAGGACCAGCCAGGGAACAGGGUUGACGUGAUAUUCCCUUUAAUUGCUCAUCCAAAUAAAUUAUCUGAAUCAAGAUGCUGUGAACCAGGACAGCUGCCAAGAAGCACAAGCCCCAGAGAGAGAGAGAGAGAGAGAGAGAGAGAUUCUCUAAAUAUUCAUUAAAUGCCUUGUCAACUUGACCACAGGGAGAGAGAGCGAGCUUCUCUAAAUAUUCAGCAAAUGCCGGGUCAAACUUGACCACAGACGUUUACAAUAUGCUUCUAUUCGUAGCUUACGCAAAUUGACCGUUAGGAGUGAACUGCUUGCUUGUCCUUCAUUACUGGGUCUUCGCAUCCUCCGCUCCAUUACUUCUCAUAUAAUUAGACUUUCAAAGAGAGUAAGACCAGCCUGGAUCAGCAAAAGCCCGUCUUCAAGGGCAUAACUUCGCAUAGCAUCUGAAUAUCUUCGAUUGUAAAAAGGAUAGAGAGGAUGGAAAGUUGACAGUAAGUGUCGUGUCAAAUUUGACCACAGGAGAGCGAGCUUCUCUAAAUAUUCAGCAAAUGCCGGGUCAAACUUGACCACAGACGUUUACAAUAUGCUUCUAUUCGUAGCUUACGUAAAUUGACCAUUAGGAGUGAAAUGCUUGUUUGUCCUUCAUUACUGGAUCUUCGCAUCCUCCGUCCCGUUACUUCUCAUAUAAUUAGACUUUCAAAGAGAGUAAGACCAGCCUGGAUCAGCAAAAGCCCGUCUUCAAGGGCAUAACUUCGCAUAGCAUCUGAAUAUCUUCGAUUGAAAAAAGGAUAGAGGAUGGAAAGUUGACAUUAAAUGCCGUGUCAAACUUGACCACAGGGAGGGAAAGCGAGCUUCUCUAAAUAUUUAGCAAAUGCCGGGUCAAACUUGACCACAGACGUUUACUAUAUGCUUCUAUUCGUACAUUUAUAAAUAUUCUUUUAACCAUUAAAUUUUUACAAUUAUAACCAACAUACUUUUGCUUCUUUUAUUUAUACUACAUAUGAGUUCAUAAGUUCAUUAAAUUACAAGCAAAAUAAUAGAAGUUUGGGUAAGGGGUAGGGAGACCUAUCUCCAAACUACAUUGUAGUUCCAAAAAUCUGUUUAUGCAAAUGACUAGAUCGAGUCAUGGAUCAACAACUUCUCUGCCUACUGCAUCUCCAACGUCCGAAUCGAAGCUACUUAACAGGCCAACUAAGUCUCCAUCAAGAUUUCAGUACUAGGCAACGAACUAGAAAUGAACCCACUCCACAAAACCUCCUACGUCAACCCAUAUCUUAAAACUACACCUGGUAUAUAUUAUUCUAGACUCUUAUUCAAGUACACUUUCAUAAAAAAGUUUCAUUAUAUACAGGGACUCCAUAAUGCAAGGGUUAAGAUGUGUCCAUCUUACACGUUUGAAAAAUAAGAGGGAUGAGCUAAAGCUUAGUAAAUGAAAUCUCUUGUUUUGAGUUAGAAAGAUCAUAUUAUUACUUCACCCGGUAUACACAAAAUGAAUGCAUAAUCAUCCAAUAAGUAUAAUACAAACAUAAACAUACUUUACUUUUAUUUUCAUCUACCACAAAAAUUGUCAACCAAGAAAACGUCCAUCCAGACUCAUGCAUGUGCACAUCAUGUUUCACACAAAUAAUUUGGUUCUACUUAUAAACAAGAUGGUUUUAUUUAUUAAUACUUCAUCCUCCCAUACACUCCCAAGGUAUCCCGACACAUAAGACAUCUCAUCUCUAAGGCAUCCUGCAAACUUCUACCACAAGGCAUCCCGACCCAUGAGGCAUCUUGAAACACUCCUCGAGGCAUUGUCACUCACCACUAUAUGAGUGAUGGAAUCACAUUAAUCUCAUUCAAACCAUGAUAUAUGCAUACUCACAAGUAUAACACAUAUAUCUCAACUCAAUUUAAUGCAUUUAUCAAAUAACUACAUAUGGGAUAAUACACAGACAUAUUCUGGCUAUUAAAUUCUAGACAUUCAAACGAACACAUUCUGAAUCUGAAUAUCGAGCAAAUUUUGGAUAUCAAAAUCUAGUAAAUCAAAUGGGUAUAUUUUGACAUGUUUAAGAUAUGCACUACUAACACUUAAAUAAAUAAAUAAAUAAAUAAAUAAUACAGAUUAUUAGAAAUGUGUUUGGACAUAUGUAAGUGUGAUCAAAUGUGUCUAAAUUAUACUUGUCUUAAUCCAUAUUUAAUGAGCUGAGUUGUUAAAAGUAUUAGUUAUAUUUAGUUAAUGGUCAUAAAUGGGUUUAGACCUAACUCUAUGGGUCAUAAAUCAAUUUAAUAUGGUUGUUAAAUAGGUUUUACAACUUACUUGGAUUUGACUCACUUUUAUAACUCCCUCUCCAUUCUCUCUCGAUAUCGGGCACUCCAUACUUUUAUCUUAUAUUAGGUAUGGAUUUUCUUAAGUUGAGUUAAAUAUACAAGUGUUUUAGCAAUAUUGAUUAGGUCAUGUGUGAAUUGAGUAUUGGGGUUAAGUUGGGUAUAAGUUAUUAAGUUUAUAUUGCAUAAAAAUGAGUCAAAGCUAAUUAAAUGAAUUAAUUUGAGUUGGAUAAUUUUUUGACCCAACCCAAAUUCGAACCCAAAUCACCAUUUGACUAGUCUAGUCUAAAUAUAUCCAAAGUGCAUUGUGUUCACCUAAUUAACUUGUCAACUGUAUUAUCAAACUUGUUUAAACAUGCCAUGGAAAGAGUCGAUUCAGUUGUGAUACAUUUAGCUUUCGUGUACAAAAAUAAGCUGUUUCUUUUACGACACAAACGUAUAUAAGGUUGACAUGAGCAUACUCAAUGAUGUGUCAAGUGAACGGGUAGUGUCAAUAUUUGCAUUUGAGAUUGAUCAACAUGCCCUACUAUUAUUUUCGAUGAAUGUCGUUACAAUUCAAAAAAAAAAAAAAUUAUAAGAAAGGGGGAAUGCACAUGCCAUGGAAAGAGUCGAUUCAGUUGUGAUACAUUUAGCUUUCGUGUACAAAAAUAAGCUGUUUCUUUUAUGACACAAACGUAUAUAAGGUUGACAUGAGCACACUCAAUGAUGUGUCAAGUGAAUGGGUAGUGUCAAUAUUUGCAUUUGAGAUUGAUCAACAUGCCCUACUAUUAUUUUCGAUGAAUGUCGUUACAAUUCAAAAAAAAAAUUAUAAGAAAGGGGGAAUGCGAAUGUAAGAUAUUAACAGGAUCUCUUAUUGAUUGACAGCUCUCUUUGUCCGACCCAAGCUAUCUGUUGCACUUUAAUUUAAUGGCAAAAAAUUGGGAGGGCACAGAGCCUGCGAGGGACAUAGAUUCACUACGGUGGUGAAAUUCAAUUGCUGAGAACCGGUGGCCAUACCGCUUUCAGAUGUAAAGCCGGAUAUCAGGCAAAAUAGACAGGCCAUAUGAGCUUUCCUUUGGUUGUCUUUUAAAGGACUUUCCUCGUUUGGAUUACUUUUCAUAGUGUGGGGAGCUGGCUUUUUUUAGGUUGUUACCGUUUGACUUUGUAAAUUAUUUGAAAUCCACCCCAAAUAACCUGAACUUCUUUCAAAAUGGGUGAAAACUAAAUCAUGUGUUGUCACGCGGGUCUUUAAAGUCUUUAAACUAAGAUGUUCACUGAACCUGUUGUUCACCCCUGGCAUGAGAAUGUCACAUGUUUCCAAUAAGCAAUCCAGAUUAACUCAUUUAGAAGGGAGUCCCAACUCCUAAGGUUCCCUCCACCAUUUUUCCUUCUCUGGUCGAGGACACGAUUGAAACGGAAGAUGCUGGACUUAUGGCCUUUACUAGAAAAAAGUGAUGGUAGAGAUUCGUUUUCAGCGACAAUUCUCUUCUUCAUGAAACAAUUGUCUUCAUGAAGUUAUUGAUGCAAGAAAGCAAUUCCAAAUGAUACUCGAUGAAAGUUCGGCCAUGUGAGGCGGCGUGAAUAGCAUGGAUGCAGCUAAUGUGCAACAUAGGGGUCAAACACACAAGUUCAAUUGAUCUUUUGACUUGAGUAGGCACAUAUGGAAAAUUUAGGAAGAAAAUUUCAUAUCCGAGGGCCAUUGCUAUGAAUAAUUAAAAGAAGCUAGAAGCCCAUGACAGAUUAUGUCCGAUCGUCCUUGAGCAAGGCCCAGCCUCCAGAAAGAGCUAGAAGCCCAUGACCAGAACGUUCGCUCAGGCUUAAACCUCGUUCCAGACGUCUCACGAACGUACGAGGAAGACCCCUCCUUCUCCCUAUAAAUACCCAGCACGUCACUCCUUCCGACAAGGAUCCAGCAAGCAAGCAACCAAAUCACCAAGAAUCUUCAAAGCCGAGCAGAAAUCUAUACCUCGCGUCCUCCGAUAUCAAGCUUCAAUCCACCGACUUUUUCGGAGACCAUGUCGCUCAUUCCCAGCUGGUUCGGUGGCCGACGCGGCGACGCCUUCGACCCCUUCGCGCUCGACCUCUGGGACCCCUUCAAGGACUUCCCUUUCCCUUCCUCUCCCCUCUCCGCCUCUACUUUCCGGGAAAAUUCCGCCUUCGUCAACACCAGGAUCGACUGGAGGGAAACUCCCGAAGCCCACGUGUUCAAGGCCGAUCUUCCGGGGCUCAAGAAAGAGGAAGUGAAAGUGG
rnacentral:lncRNA from 1 species